CGCUCUCAUUCUCUCUCUCUAUCAAUUCUCGGCUUAUAUCACAGAAAAUCAAGAUGGAGUUUUCUCUUAAUUUCUUCGUGAUGUUUGCACCAAAAUCCCUCUUAUCUUACCUCUUUUGUUUUCCACAAAAAUAUUCGCCUAUUUCACCCAAUUUCUCCAAGCCCUAGUUCCUACCCCUGUUCGAGAAUUUUCGAAUUCAUUAAGGAGAUUCGGAAGAUUUGAUUACAGGGAAAGAAUUGGGGCUUUGAAAAGAUAAUUUCAGAUUUGGGUUUUAAGGAAAAAUAAUAGUUUGGAGACCUUCGAGAAUGAAUCCCGUCGAUCAGGUCCCACCUUUGGAAUAAUUGUGAGUUCAGAUGUACACCGGUACGUGUUGGUGAUUUCCGGCAGAGGUCGCCGAUGGUGGCCGUUAUCUGGAGUUCAGCUUUUGGCUCUUCAAAGAAUUAAAUGAACGGAGGUGUUAACGGUGGAGUAUCGAUGAUAGAAGGUACUGUUACAAACCUCGAGAAGUUAGCGUCCCAUUAAUGGUGGUGCAAGGCAGUUUUAUUCGGCGGUGGUCGCCGAAAUUUUGUGUGAAAUUCAGCAUGCUCGCCGGAAGGAAAUAAAUCUGCUACCGCAUAUGUUUUCGGAGCCAAAAUCGAAGGGUUUGGAGUGUGAAUUUGGGAAUCAUUCCUUCUCGAAACUCGUAGAGGACCUCGAAAACUGUGAGUAAGUGUUUAAUUAUUUCCAAUUGGAGCACAUGUUAUAGUCUCUUAGGGGUCGGAAUCAGACGACAGAGAAUCUGUCAAAAAACAGGGCAGUUUUGCCUAAUCAUCAUACGGAGCUGUUUUUGUUAUGUUGGAGUAAUAAUUUAGGCUAUGUAUCUUCUGAUGUUUUGUAUAUUGAGUUGUGAGGUUUGAUUUGGUAUAUUAUUUGGUCGAUUUGGAUAACUCUACAAAUUGUUAUGAUUUUUCAAAUAAACUGUGACAGCAAACAAGUUUGUCCAAAACAAUUCUGGCAGUUUUCUGUAUUCAACUUUUCGGGCUGUUAUUGUUGUGUUAUCUUAGUAAUUGUGGGUUGGUAUCUUCAUCACAAUUGUAGAUAAAGUUGUGAACGUUUAUUUGGUAUAUUGUUUUCCCAAUUUGGAUAAGCGUACGGCCUGCUACGAUUUUUGGAAGAAAAUGUGACAACAAAUAACGUUGGUUUCUAGUUUAAUGUCCAUAGUUAGCAUCUAUCUGUUUCAUUAGUUAUUUGAGUCAUUAGUUAUUUGAAAUUUGUCUUAUGCACAUUGAGCAACAAGUUUAAAGUAAUGUGAUCGAAGGUGAAGCUUAAGAAACUAAUGGAUUCUUAUUUCAGGUGUCAUUCGUGGUUGUGUACCUAAGAAAAUUUUGGUCUAUGAUGUUGCUUUUGGUGCUAACUCGAGGUGAGAAGACUUUGUUAUUUGAGAAAGAUUUUGUUAGGUAUUUCUUCAAGUUAUAUAACCAAAUUUAACCCGACAGCUAUGUUGGCGAAAUUCUGAGAAAUAGUAAACCUUCUGCCGCACCUGUUUUCGGAGCCGAAAUCGAAGGGUUUGGAGUGAGAUUUUCGAAUCAGUCUUUUCACAAAAGUCGUCGAGGACCGUGAUAAUUAUAUGUAAGUGUUAAAUUGCUUCUAAUUCGAGCAAGUUUUAUAGCCUUUUAGAAAUGAGAAUUUGACGGCAGUGAGUCUGCCAAAAACAGGGCAGUUUUGAUGAAUCAUCUUCGUUGGGUUUUAUUACCGUCUUAGGGUAAUAAUUUGGGAUAUAUUUCUUAAGUAAACUUUUAGAUGAAGUUGUCAGCUUUGAUUUGGUAUAUUGUUUGGCCAAUUUGGAUAACUUUGCAAAUACUUAUGAAUUUUACAAUAAACUGUACCAGAAAAGAGAAUUUAUCCGAAAUUCUGGCAGUUUUCUGUAAUCAUCUUUUGGGCCUGUUUUGCAUAUGCUGGGAUCAUAAUUUGUGAUCAGAGUCUUCAGUGAACAUGUAGAUGCAGUUGUUAGCUUUCAUUUGGCAUAUUACGUUCCCAAUUUGGAUAAUUGUACCAAUUGUUAUGAUUUUUCAAAGAAAUUGUGGAAACAAAUGUUUUAAACCUUUGUUUCGAGAACUCGUCAAACAAACACGAGUCAACUCCGUACCAUGUGAAUUGAUGCCUGGAGUGUGUUGUAUUUGGUAAAUAGAACGCCAUAGAAAUUGUGUAUUAUGUUCGAUUGUCAGUUAUGGCAUAAGAUUUAAAUUAGGAUGUUUAUAUGAAAUAGAACCGAAUAGUGAACGAUUAUGUUAACAUUCGAUAACUUGUUUAAUUCUAAUAUUUGAUAGGUGUUGAGUAUAUUUAUGCUCUCAUUAAAGACUUGAGCAUGACUCCAAAGUGUUUUUAUAGCACUUGCAUUGGAUUCAGGUGAGAAUCUCUAUUUCUUCACUAUUAUUUAUUAAAUUUUGAGCGCAGAUACAUUAUUGAAUUUUGAGUGCUACUAAGUGACAAAUGAUUGGAAUUGAUUCUAUCAUAUGAUUUCUUAUUUUCUAAUUGAUUUUUUUCCCUUUUUCAGGUCAGGUUGGACUGUUUGAUGAAGUGAAAGAACGUUAUCGUGGAAGUCAUAUUUGUUGUCGCUUAACAAUUUAUGAAGUGGAAUUUAUUAUGAAAUAAUUAUAGUAAUCUUUCUUAUUAUUUGAAAUGAUUGAUUUAUUAUUGUAUGUAGUAUGAUAGAUUGAAAUUAUAAUAUUCACAUUUGAUUGAUAAUGUGUAAAUUUGCAAGCUUUAGUUUUAUUUUAAUUUUUUUUUACAGUCACGGUUGCAAAUAAACAUUAAUGAUUAAUGCAACCAAUUAAUUGUUGGUCUGAAUUGGUCAGUAAAUUUAAUAAUUGCCGCAAUCGUGUAAAAACUAUUGCAACCAAUAAUAUGGUCACUAUAUGUAUAUAUUUUAGCAACCAACAGUUAUAUUAUUUAUCAACCAAUAUAUACCGUCACUAUAUGUAUAUUAUGUAGCAACCAAAAAAUGUGGUGGCCAAAUAUAUAUUCUAUAGCAACAAUAAUAUAUGGUCACUAUACGUAUAUAUCAUUUAGCGACCAAAAUUAUAUGGCCACUAUAUAUGUUGCUACAGCAACCAUGUUAAUAUUAUUGCCACCAUAAAAUUUACAUUAGCGAGUCAAAAACUGGUCGUUAAUAAUUAUAUUUUUAGUGACCACUAUUAGUUCGCCACUAAAUCUCAUCUUUUAGCGUCCAAUUAAUUUUCUUGUCACUGAGUACUUUUAGUAACUACCCUGUUGUGACCACCGGUGACCAACCUUAAUUUGGUCGCCAUAAGUUUUAGCUACCAUUUUCUAACUUUUAGCGACCAUACAAAAUCGUCACUAAAACCAAAAUUUCUUGUAGUGUGGGUUUAAAUAAACUUGUUAGGUCAUUUGGACAUGUUAAUUAAUAGGUGUGGGAAUCAAAAUGAAAUUUUCGAAUCCGUCGAUUCCGGUCUAAAAGUAUCUGAAUUUGGAACUGUAUUUUCAUUCCGAUUUUCGAUUUUUUUAAAACGAAAUCGGAGUUGUAUAUAAAAUUAACGGAAAUUCCAAUUCCAAUUCCGAUCCGAUUUUAGUGACACAUAUUUUAAUUGUUUUUCGAAGUAUAUAAUAUAAUUUUAUGAUAUAUAAUUUCAUAAUAUAACUUAUGUUAUAUAUUUUUAUGAAAAAAAUUAAUACCGAAGGAUCAAGUAACUUAAAACCUUAGAAAAAAUUAAUUGGUAUCAGGAUUUUUCUAUUGCAUUUUUUUCUUAUUAAAAAAUCUAUGUUUCAAUUUGUUACGGUGUUUCUACGUGUGGUUUUAUUUAUUGCAUUUUGUCGAACUCUCUUUUGGAUUUUCUUGCAUUUUCCUACAAAAAUUUAAAAAAAAAAUAUAGAAACAAAUUGUGAAAAUUCCCAUGACAUCUGAAUUUGGAACAAGAGUAUAUAAUAUAGUUUCCAAAAUCUCCUAGAGUCUCCUGAUUUCGAGUCAUUACGAAAUCGGAAUGAAUUAUUGCAUUCUGAAUUUUUUGGAACGGAAAUUGGAACCCAUUUUUUACUUCCGAACAAAAUUGGAAAUUUUCCGCAAAAUCUAUUUUCGAUCCAUUUCGUCCGAUUUCCAGCCUUAUAAUUAAGGGUGGGAUAUGUGUUUUUGAAUGUAUUUUUAUUUAGAAAAGACACACUUAUAAUAUAUAUAUUUAUAUAAUAUUUAAAGCAAAAUUAUCUGUCGUAACAAUUUUAUACAAUAUUCCAUGAAAUGGGUCCAGAAUAUUAUUAGAUUCUGCACUUUCUUAGUCUUCAUACUACCAAAGCUCCCAGCUGUCUUUUUUGUCUAUGGUUUUUUUUUUUUAAUGCACUGAAAGUACUGUUGAUAACUCUUUCUUUAAUUUGAUGCUCAUUUAAUAUUUAAUAACAUUGUCCAUAUAUAUAUAAAAUGUAAGUAUAUGUUAUAUAUAUAGGUAAAUACACGUUAUAUUUGAUGUAUUUUAAGUGAAUCAUAGUACGGUAUUUGUGUACAUUUAAUUUAUACUUCUUGUCUCGCAAUUACAAACUCGAAAAAACAAUUGUCUUUUGGCACCUCGAACCGCGGGUUUUUGGCCACAGAAUCUUACAGAUUGUAACACUAAUUUUUUAUUUUUUUUUUGCUGUUUAAACUAAUGACAAUUAGUCUUCGAUUUUAGUAAAAUAUAUAUAUAUAAAAAAAAACUAUCUUUAUAACCAAAGGGCUCGAUUUCUGCAGUUUAAGAUAAUAAAAAACACUGAAUGUCGAAUCGAAUUACCGGUUCGGUAAUCGGCACGUACCAAAUUUUUGUUUGGUUUGGUUCGGUUCUGGUUGGUUUACCAACCGACCGGAUGAACACCCUUGGGUAAAUUUGAGACGUAAGGGUGGACGUUUAACAAUACAUAGUUGAGGGGGUGACUGCAAUUAUAAAAAUAUGAGGGUUUUUUCGUAGUUUAAGCAAACGUCUGCGGCGAUCAUAAUUUGCCCGAUUUUUUUCUUACUAAAACUUAAUGUGGUCUAGUUAUCAAGUUUUCCAUUCGUUUUUUUUCUUUUCCUUUGUCAACUCUCGAUAGAGGUUAGUUAGGAAGACACAAAAUAAGGUUGCGUUUGAAUUCAAGGAUUUGAAAUGAAUUUGAAUACGGAGGAUUCGAAAUGACUUUAAAUGAGAAGACAUCUGAAAUAAAAAAUUGUUCAAAAAACAACUAAAUAUGAGAGCAAUAUUUUUGAAGUCCUCAGAUUUUGUUGCAUUUUGCACCUUUGUUAUAAAUAUUAGCUAACAAUCACCGAUGAUACAUUUUUUUUAGCACAAAAACCCCUGAGUGAUGCAUUUUUAGGGACUGUUUGCUAAUAAAUUGAAUCAUAAGGAAGAUUUUGUUAAUAUUUAUACUACGGGGAGUUUUUUGACAAUUCGGAUAAAAAUAUGGAUGUUAGAUGCAAUAAACCACUAAAUACAAUGUUUUAUGCAAAAAAAAUAUGGAUGUUAUGUGCAAAAAAAAAAAUAAUACUAAACUUCAAAUUAAGAUUCAUGGUUUGGAUCCAAAUAAGGUACAGAUUGAACUUCAAAAUUGGCAGUCAUUAAAAGAAAUGACAUUUUUACCCUUCUUAGUGAAUUAAAUUUUAUGAGGACGAAGCUUCUAAGCACUGAACUAUAGGAUGCACCGUCUGGCGGUGGCAAUAAUGACAUUUUUACCCUUCUUAGUUUAUUCAUUUUCUUUUAAAAUUGAAUCAUUACCAAAAGAUUUUUUUCCAAAUAUUAAAUAUUAUGCACAAUAAUUGUUUACAUUUUUUAGGGAUUAUUGCACGAGGUGAGAUUGUACCUUAAAUCUUAAUAUAGAGAUACAACCACUUCAUUAACAUGCUAAGUGGGUCUACUAACUAAUUAAUUUUGAAUAAUUAAUAACUAAUUGUUGUUUAUAUUGGGAAUUCCUUUGUUUUUUUUGUUUGAUCGUACGCUACUAUCAUCUUAAACGUACUUGAAUAAAUGGAUAAUAAUUCACACCCAAUCGUGUUUAGACACUCAAUUUGCACAAACUACAUCAAACAUUCAUCCUAAGCAAUUUAUUAAAAAUUGCAUAACUCCUUUCAUUAUCAUCUCAAAUAAUACAAGAUCUUUUUCAGGGGAAAAAAUAAAAUCUAAUUCCUCAUACAUAUAUUUGAUAAAAAAAUAAAAAUCAAUUUUCGUUGAUUCUGAUCUGAUUUUUUUUUUUCAAAAUGAUUUUUGACUUUACCAAAUAUGUUGCAUUGGAAUGUAUAUGUCUAUUCUUUUAAAUUUUCGAUCCAAUUUUAAUUUUCUAAAAUUCCGAAUUUCUGGUUUUAUUAUUCUACUAUGUGUAUAUGAUAUAUUACAUUUUUUACUUGAUCGGAAAUUAAUUAAACUUCUACUACAUGCUACGUUCAACAUUCACGGUAUUGGUAACUCCAAUGCUAAAUAUCAAACUUGGAUUAUCAAAUGCUCAUUUGAUAUUUAAGAUACUAUUUUAAAAUACAUUUAAAACUCAUAUGCUCCAACCAUGGUAAUCAAAUUUUAUUAUCAAUUGGAAGUUUUUUGAUAAUUUUACAUGUAAUCGCCACAUGUCAAUUUGUCAUUGGUUGGUUAGGUGGUUAUUGUUUUGAUAACUCAAUCUCCAGGAAGUAUUUUUAGAUUCAGAGUGGUGAAAUAUCAAAAUACAAACUCAUUUUAAUAACCCCUUUGGAGAACAAAGUUUUUAAAUUUUAGGAGUCAAAUAGUAGUUAAGAGAUUUGAUAAAUCGUUUAAUAACUCCAUUGGAGUUGCUCGUUCCUAUAUUUUCUUUCUAUUUUAUUUCAACUAAUUUUCUAUAUUCGGUUUUAUCAUCAUGUCUAUGAUAAAUGUCGAUUAUAUAGGUGAGUUGAUUUUUUUUUUAAAUUCACACCGAGUCUAGAAAAAUUCAUGCUAUUGAUUUUCAUAAAAGCCGGGCUAUUUUUUUAAUAUGGAAUUUUAUAAAUAAUAUUUUAAACAAAAAUUAUUUUUAUUAAGAAAAUAUACAAAGAGAACGUUAAUGAAUUUUAGUACUCUCUUCUUCCCAUAUUAUAUAUCUUUUAAGAUGGUUGCGCGGAUAUUAAAAAACCUAGUAAAUAUGCAUAGAUUAUACCGAAACUAACAUAGUCAAUACUAAAAUUCCCUUGUCAUUAAUUAUUUUCAAUUAACUAAUUACGAAUGAUAAAUGACAAAUUUGAUAAAAAUGCAAUUAAUGCUUUGUUGGAACUCUAAAAUGACAAAUAAUUUGGGACAAAAGAAAAAAAAAAAAAAAAUGGGACAGAGGGACUACAGAAACUAUAUAAGUUUUCAUAUUUUGUUUUUUUUUUUUUUGCUUUUAAUGGGAAAUUUCUAAUUAUUUUUUGUACCUAAGUUGAAAAAUCUAGAGUUGGUAAGAUAUGAGAUUUUGUAUAUUCAUUUAAAAUAAAAUAAAAUGUUACACCAAUUUCCCUACUAUCAUUAAUGUUGCCUCAUGUUUCAAGAAAUUAAUCAAGCAUGAUUCUGUGAAGCACGUCCCAAUCUUCAACCUCAUUUGGUUUCAAUUUUAAAAUUAGCUAAUUUGUCGUUUCUUGAUCUAUUGAGAGAGAAUUAUUAGUGAAACAAUGGGUAAAUUACAAUCAACCCCUGUUGUAUGGUCAAUUUACGAAAAAAACCCCUUUCGUUUGGAUAAUUACAUCUCCCCUCAACUAUGAUUUUUUCUUACACCUCCACCCUUAUGGUGUCAAACUCAACAUAAUCAUCUAGAUUUCGUGAAAUGUGCUCUAGUUUGUACUCGUUUUGUGUAAAAAUACAGUUUAUGAUGCACCGCAAUCUGAUAUAUACAAGCUUAAAAACACAUAUUAUGAUCAUCUUACUUCAAAAUGUGGAGUUCGAAUAGGAUAAAACGGGUACAAAGGUGAUAAUAAUCCAUAUAAUCUCGAAAACUCUACUAAAUUUGAAACCUCUAGGGUGGACAUGAAAAAAGAUUUAUACUUGAGGAGGAUUAUUAUAAUUAUCCAAACAAAAGAGGGUUUUUUGUAAUUUGACCAUACCUUAGGAGUGAUUGUAAUUUUACUUAUACUUAUUAAAAUUUUUAAUACAUGUGCACUAACCCAAAACGGUUAUUAAAAUGUGAAGGGGGGUAAUUUAUUAGUGAUAAAGAAAUCAUUUUCUUUAAUAAAAGUUUGUUUUUUAGAAAAUAUUUGUUCAUUUUUAUUAGCUAAGAGUCCAUGUUAUAUUGAGGGUUGUGAAUAGUCUAGGCAGUGGCGGAAUCAGGUAUAUAUAGUUGGGGAGGCGGAAUUUUAGAUGGUAUGCUAAACAUUUGUAGGGGCAUGACUUGCUCGAGGGUAUGUACUGUAGUCGAUUUUUUCUAAGGAUAUUACAUAUGAAGAUGAAUUACAUGAAUGUGUGAUAUUGUUAAAAAAAUAAAAUAAAAAAUAAAAUAUUAAUUAGAAAUAUAGAAUCGAGAAUCAAAUUUGAAAGAAAACUAAGUUGACAAAAUAUAAAUAGUAUUUCUUAAGGUGGCUAAUACAUAACAACAUAUAAUUAAGAUAAUAUAUUAGUAAUUAGUAGUAAAUAAGCAAAAAUCAUUUUUUUUGGGGGGGGGGGGGGGGGGGCGGGGGUCAUGGGCCCCGACCUGCCCAGCCCUAGUUCCGCCAGUGAGUCCAGGGGUGCGCAUCGGUCAAUUUUCAAAAGUUCACUGUCAAUUUUCAUAAUCUACCAAUUAUAGAAAAAUGCCAUGCCUCCUCGGUCAUGUUUCUUGUCAUUACUUUAAAAUUUCUUGUAAUUUGGGUAGAAUUUACAAAUUGUAAGGUAAGUUUUAGUGUAACUAAUCUCAUUUAAGUAAUAUUUGUGUCAUUUAUGUACAUGUUUAUUUGUUUCAAUAUUACACUUUCUCUGAGUUUAAAUUCACAAAAAAUAUACAAUUCGAUGCAUGCACAAACAUUUUUUUUUUAUCAAAGCAUCUUAUAAAUAGAUUAAACUCAAAAAACACAUAAUGAAAAUGUAACUGAAAAAACAAAAAAGCUGUUUUAUUUUUUUGGGAAAUAAAAAACACAAAACUAAAAAAAAAAUCAAUAUUGUAUAAUUGUUGUCCAGCGGUGGCCUAGUUAUUAGAAUAAGAGAGUUCAAUUUCAAAUUAUUCGAGUUCAGAUUCAUGUGUCAAUGGUUUUUAAGUUAAUCUUGUCACAUAUUACUUAUGCUUAGUUUAAUGUACAUAUCUCCUGAGAUUUGGAAGCUAUUACAGGAGAGUAGAUUUUUACAAAGUUCGCUUAUAUGAUUAGCUGUGAAUUUCUUUUCUGUCAAACACAAAUAAAAAAAUGUAUAAUUGAUUAUGUUAAACAAACACACUCGAAAGAAUAAUUAUAACGUAUAUAAAUGUACAAUGUCGAUGCAUAAACGAAAACGUUGUGACUUAAAAACACAAGAAACCAAUAAAAAUACUCGGACAUAUCCAAAUUAUCUUUUCGCCUAAGACAUAUCUUAACUUUCGAAAAAAAGAAAUGAAGUAUCGAAAUAGAAAAAUGAAUUUAAGGCAUAAUAAACGACAUUGAAUGGUAAUGUAAUACUCCAAGGACUUCCCAAAAAAAAAAAAAAAGAAAUUGAAUUGAUGAACUUUAAUCUAAACCAAAAAUAAGAGUAUUGUUAGGGCUAAUAAUGUUUUUCCAUCCUACAAACUAUUAUCUAAUAUUUCAUCUUUUUUUAAACAAUUCAAAUGUCAACUCUGAUUAAGGUGAUGUUUGCAAAAAUCCAUAUAUAAGCAAAGGCGGCCGUUAUAUGCAAGCCUAUUUUUUUAUUAGUUCAAACCCACAUAAAGGGAUUUAUUAGUUCAAACUCAUAAAUUAAUUUAAUUUUAUUACAUCAAGACCAAAGAGGACGAAUAUACCCUUAUCCUCAAAUAAUACCUAAAUACAAAUUAACCCUAUUUCUUAUUUGUACAAGACCAAAAAAUAAAAAACUCAAAAGAAAAAAAAAAAAAAGAAUACGGAAAAAGAAAACGGCCGCACGACCACUGCAGAAGAUCGUCGCACGACUACCGCAGAAGACCGCCGCGACUGCCGCACGACCACCACCAGACCGCCGGCAACGAUCAGCAAGCCACCACCACCGCACCAUCACCACCACCACCACCAAACCAUCUCCACCGCACCAUCACCACCACCGCACCACCACCAACAAGUAAGGCCACUCAAGUAGAGCUUCUCGUGUCUCAAAUAUUUGUUCGGUAGAAAAUUCAUCCGAAUACUCCAUCAAUCCCCUAGGUUGCUGCAAGAAAGUACGGAAAAACGGUCUUAAAAAAACAUAUAUAAUAAAAUCGGUGCUCAAAAACCGAUUUUAUGUAGUCUAAAUCGGCAUUAUAACACCGGUUAUAGACAAAAAAAUCGGCUUUGUCAUGCUGUUUUUUACUACAAAAAUCGGGUUUUGAGUACCGAGUUGUAUUCCAGCAAUCGGACUGUAGUUGCCGAUUUUCGCAACAAAAAUCGGUUUUUAAAUAUCGAUUUUUGGUGUCGUCGAUUUUUUUUUUCCAACAAAAAGAAAACGACCCAAAAGCAAAAAUAAACGGUUAAAACAUACCUUAUUGUGUUCUCCACCCUCGUAAACCACCAUAUCAUUGUUUUUUGGCUCCAUCGUGAAUGUUUGGUGUGUAUUUGAUAAUUUCGGCGUGUAGGGUUUCUUGGUGGCUUUGUGAAGAAGAAGGAGGAGAUUUUUAAGUCGUGAAAUAAUGAAAGGAGAUUUAUAGGGUUAUGUAUUUUAUUUGGUCUUGCACAAAGGAAAUAUUUUUUUUAUUUUUUUAAUAUUUUGUGUUUUUUAUUUACUUUUGAAUUUCAUUAAGGGUAAAUUAAUAGGGAUAUUUACUUUACUUUAUUUGGUCUUGCAAGGAAAUAAUGAAAGGAGAUUUAAUAUUUUUAUUUUAUUUGGUCUUGCACAAAGGAAAUAUUUACUUUUGAAUUUUUAUGUUGGAGGUUUUGAACUAAUAAAAAAAUGGGUUUGCAUAUAACGGCCGCCAUAAGCAAAAGUUCGUGACUUUGAGUUAAGUUAAAAUAAAUAUUUUUAGGGAUAUUUGCAAAUACUGUAGAAAAAUCAAUUUUAGUUUCUAGCUUAUUUAUGGUGAACUAUGUAGGUUGUCCUAAUAAUUUGAAUUUGGAUAAGAAAUAAAGGAAACAACUCCUAGGAUGUUUCUCACUAAGGAUGGACAUUCGGAGCGGGUCAAGUUUUUCGGGAUAUUAGGAUGGGGUUAUUCGAGUUUUGGCAUAGAAAUCAUUAUCCGAACCCGAACCCGAACCUGACCGAUUAUUUUGGGUUGGGUUCGAUUUUUUAUUUUUUUUACAAGAAUAAUAUUGAUUUUUGAAAUUUAGUAGUGCCAUUAUGUCACCACCUAGUACAGAGCCAUUUAUUUCUUAAAAAUAAUAACAAAAGAAGCCCCUUUUUUGGGUCCUAUGCUCAUUUUAUUUGAAAAGAAAAUUUCAUUUUUUUUUUCUACUUUGCGUUUUUUGUUUUGCCUUUUUUUUAUUUUUUUCCGAAAUUUUGGUAACUUGACAAUUGACAUAUUGACAUUUAGUAAUUAGUACAAUGUCAAUUACAAUCGACAAACAUAAGAUGGGCUAUGUAAGAAAAUUGGAUUGGGUUUGAGAGCAAGAUAGGCCCUAGAGUCUAGUUUUUUUUUUUCUUUUUUUUUUUUUUUUUAAGCUAGGUACUCGAUGGGGUAUCCCGGUAGGAAUACUAAUACCCGGAUCCGACUAGAUUUGUGAACACCGGGUAUCCGAAUCCGGCAGAUCCCGGUAAGUUUGAAAAUUACUUGAUCUAGUCGGAUAAAACCUGACCGGGUCGGGUUACAAUCCGAAUAUCCCGAUCCAAAUGCCACCCAUAUUUCUCAAAUUAUAGUUGUUGACACCAAAAUUUUGAGAAAAAUCACUAAUUAAUAACCAAAAUAAUUGGCUAGUAAGUUGAGUAACAAAUGAAAGUCCAUAAUAUAUUUGCACUUUAUAAAUAUGUUAAAUUGAUUAAUUAAAAAGUAAAUACUUUUUAUUAUUAGCUAAUUGGGCCAAAUAUGUCAAAUGACAUGUAUCCAAGUUCACCAACCUAUGCUACAAAUCAAGAAAUCCUAGUAUGUGCACAGAAAAAGAGACUUCGAUGCAUGCAAUAUUCAGACUCACAUGGACACAUAUCAAGCUCUCAACUUAAGUUUCGAUUAUCCGCCACGAUUUCAUAACAUAUUUGAAUUUGAGGUGUUUAUAUUUAUUCGAUUAAAAAACAAGCUUCUUUAGGACAGAAGAAUCAUGAAAUUAUUUAGAGAAUGCAAUCCAUUUCGUUUGAUUAUAUGUGUUUCCUAUUUUCAUGUCUCGUAUUUAUAUUUGGCAUCCGCGAAAUUUGUGAUUAACAAUAGUUCAACACUACUUGUUUCUAGAGCGGAUGAAGUAAAAAUCAAUGUCCAAUUCUUUAGAUAGUAUAAGAAUUUGUUUGCAUAAGUAAUGAUAUUGCAUUCCCACUGCAAUCACCAUUAUCACACAUAAUGGUUAUUUGUAACUCUAUAUUUAUUAUGUUCAAGCUAAUGAUAUUGUAAAUCUUGACCUUUGAGUUGUUGUCUUUGCUGUACUAUAUUAUAUGUAGUAACACCAUGUAAUGCUUUGUACACAUAUCAAGAAGAGAAAUACAAACAUUCUACAUAAUUGUUUCAAAAUUCAUAAUUGUUUGUUAAGCUCCUCUGUAACUAAUCUCUCAAUUUAACCAGGUGAGCAAGCACGAGCUCGAAUAAUUAUACUAAAUCGAGUUCUAGCACGAACACGAACACGGACACAAGCUCGACUCAAAAUUUUAUUAUUAUAUAUAUGUUUUGCUACUAUAAAUUAUCUUCUAUUCAUAAUUUAAAAAAAAAAAAAAAAAAAGAAUUAACAAAAAAAAAUACCAAACUAGUGACUAAGUUUAACCCCUAGAUGGUGGGCUUGUUAUCCCAUUCUCUAUCUACACUAGUGUGAAUCAAUGGGAACCCCAUCAUCAAUAAAAUUCCUUACAAAUGAAAUAUGACUGUAGUAGCACUUUCUUGACUGUGUAAGUAUAUACUUUCUUGAUUGUAAGUAUAUAACAACCAAAGCAGCCUCUCCUAUGAAACAUCUAAUGCUUGUCCAAACUUCUCCUCCAAUGCUACCACCUGUUUAAAGUCAAUUCCAAACACGAACAUGACCGGGUAUCCUAUGCGCGAUAAGUUAAGAGCAGAAACCGAUCAUAUAUUCAAAAUCUGAACGACGACUAAACAUUUCCGGCAGGCAGAAAAUUUCUAAUGGUUUUAAGCAUAUACGAAUACGAUGAAUAUUCACCGUUUCUUGAGUUCUAAAGAUACAAAUCUUACGUGUAAGGCGCGUGUUUCCCAGUUUAAAGCAGAAGGCCAUAAAUACACACACACACAAACAACAAAUCUUUCAAGCCGCUAGCUACACUGUAUGAUACAAACACACACACACACACACACACUCAAACAAGAUUACAUGCAUACAUACAUACAUACAUUGCUUACCAGCUUCCGUCGUCUCUCUCUCUCUCACCUUCUUCCACCCCCACUCCCUUGAAACAGCUCGUUAAUCCGAGCCUCGAUAUCCUCCACUCUAUACCUGAUAUACCUAUCCGCGUUCUUGCUAAUAUCCGGUACACUCUGCAGCCUCGCAAUAAAAUUACGGUACGCAUUACACAAAGCAACCGAAAUCGAACUCCUCAACUCCUCCCUCAACUGAUCGUCGAAUAUCACCCACGAGGACUGAGUCUUGCAUGUCUCCUCAAAGUAGGAAUUGAACAACUUCAGCUUCUCCUUCAAGUUCUUGGACCCCCGAUUGGGCGACGCGGAAAAAUUGUUGUCCAGUUUGAGAACUCCCAAAACCUUACUCCAAGAACUCCUCUGAUAAUUCACAUGGUACUGCCUCACUUUCGCCGUGUGUUUCUUAACCCAAUCGUCGCCUAACAGCACCCCCAAAUCGUUGUCUCUCACCUUCUGCACUAUGUACCUCCCAUUGUUCAUCAUGAAAACCGAGCACAAAGCGGAAUCCCUAUAAGUCUUCGACUUUGCCUCCAGAUUACUCUCCAACAACUCCAUUAUCCACUCCAUUUGCACCGCUAAACUAGACGACGAGGAAUCGUUCCCCUUUCUGUAGUCAAGAUUGCUUCCGCCGCUCUCUUCAAAUACCUGCUCCAACGUUUGACGGGCCCUACACGCAGCCCGAAGAUAAUUCAUCACGUAUCGAGUAAUGGGGUGCAAUCUUCCUCCAGGAACUGCGUCUUUAGCCGGGUCCCGCCUGAUUAAAUUCUCCAACUCCAUGAAUAUUCCCCUGAUAGAUUCCCCGAGUCUCUUCCAAAUAGUUACGGCUUCGUUUCUCAGAGACGAACAGUACUGGUCGGAAAAGAUUAAUUCGAUCUCCGGCAUCAAGUCCCUCACAGUUUCGUAAACAUCGAGCACCUUGAAGAGACGCUCCGGGGCCCGGCUUCCGAUUGCGACCGCGUCGGCGAAGUUGAGGAGCUGAAUGGUGGAACCCCUGCAGACCUCCAUGAAGGAGAGGUCGGCGGCGGAGGAUAAGGUGAAGAAGAUGCGGUCGCAGAGGCGGCGUUCGCUGGGGAAGAGGAUUCGAACACCUAAGUUCAUUGCUUUGAUCCAUUUCUCGAUUUCGUCUUCUAGCUGGGUCCACUGCAUUCUGUGAACAUCGUCGAUGCUGAGCUUCGAAAGACCCAGCCUCGAAAAGCUCUCCUCCAGAAAAUCCCGCCGGCACGUGCUGUACGCGUGCGAGCACUCCUUCACGUACCCGGCGGCCACCAUCCUCUUCGCGAUCUCGUGGAGGUCUCUGAUGGUGCCGGACGGGAGAGCGUCGAUUGUGAUGUCGUAGUCGGUUAUGGGGUGGGCUACCGGGGUGAGGCUCCCGUCGUCGAAAUCGCCGCCGUCGUCGUCGGACGAGGAGUAGUCGGUGUGGGGGUGAGUUGACUCGGACCGAGUCAGGUCGUACGACUCGGCGCCGCGCUCGACGAGGGUUCGGAACUCGUCCUCGAGGCGGAACAUGGACUGCUGGAGGAGAUCCUCGGCGCGGUCGAGGCAGGAGGAGAUGUUCUUGUCGUCGGCGAUUGGGGUCCAAUCGCGGACGACGGCGGUCAAUUGGUCGACGGAGGCGAGGAAGGAGGCGGAAUCGGCGGAGUUGGACCAGAUAGGGCGGUCGGCGUUGACGUAGCGGGAGAUCUGGCGGUCGAGGGAGUUGAGCGUCUGCUCGACGUCGUCGUCGGAGAGCUUCUCGGUGAGCUUCUCGCGGAGGCGGCCGUCGAAGUUGGAGAAGAUCUUGAGGAUGUCGUCGGUCAUGGUGUCCGUGUGGCCGAGGGUCUUCGCUAUGUGGCGGGCUACAGCUAUGAGCUUCUCCUCGCCGUUGUCCGCCAUUGUUAGUUAAUCCCGAUCGAUUUCUGCGCCGAUUGGAGUUUUGCCCUAGAAACACACGAUCAAACCCUCGAAAGAGAGAUUUGACGGUGGUUAGGGGCGGCUGCAGAAAUUAAGAGACAAGGGAUUGGGUGGGGCCCUAGCGGAGAGUGAUGGGGGAAACGCGGUUUAUGUGACUGAUGAUAGUGAAACUAUAGAGAGGAGAGAGAUUAGAGAGAGAAAGAGGAGAGAGAAAGAAGAGAGAGAGAGAGAGAGAUAAAGGAAAAGUAAAAAGGGAAAAAAGACGAGUGGGAGUGAUUGAGGCAAAGCAGAGAUGGUGGUAACGUGAGAUCCACUGGUUUUGCCUCUUCUCUCUUUUCCUUUUUCUUAGUUAAAACGGUUAUUUUUUUUAAAUAUUAAUUAUUAUUUUAUAAUUAUAAGUUUAAAAAAAAUUUAAAGAUAAAAAAAUUAAUUUUUGAAUUCAAAUUCUAUUGAAUGUCCAAGGUGAAAGAUGGGUAGAAUUUGAAAUAAAAAAACAUAGACCGCUAAUGAUUAAGAUUAGUUACAACAUUUAGAAUUAGUGUUUUACAUGAGUCUUUUUGUGUUGUUAUUUGGUUUGAUGAUUGUUGAAACAAAGUACAAUAACAACAGCAUAAGAGUAACUUAGAUAUCAAAAUGGAGCAUUAAAUAUUCAUUUGGUGUUUUAUAUAAUACUUUGAUACUCUUGAAAAAAAAAUUCACUCCAACCACAAGUAUCAAAUAGAUUAUCAAAUUUUAAGUAUAUGAAUAAUUAUAUUUUUAAAUGCCACGUGUCAAAUAGUGAUAGGUUAAUUGGGUGGUUAUAUUUUUGAUACCUCAUUUUCCAGGGAGUAUUUUUGCACGUAGGGUUGGUUGAGUAUCAAAAUGAUUCUCACUUUAAUGCCUCCAUUGGAGGAGGAUUUUUUAAUUUUGGAGUAUCAAAGUGGUAGUUUUUUAGUUUAAUACCUCAUUUAGUGCCUCCAUUGAAGUUGAUCUAAGGAAAUAGAGAGAAUGCAAAUAACAAAUCCGUAUAGCAUAAAUUUAUGGGGUCAUCUUUUUUGGGGGAAACAUUUUAUCUUACAAUACGUACGAGUUACAUUUUUUUUUUUAAUUUACGUAAAAGUUACAUCACCGUAGAAUAGACAUGGGUAAUUGAUAAAUUAAUGAAAAAUUAAGAAUCAUCAAAUGAUUGUGCUAGGAAACUCCACGUUCUAUAUUGUUUACAACAAACAAUGGAAAGACUUGGUUAUUUUUUUCUUCUUAAAAGAGAUUCUAAAUUUUUAAAUAAAUUAUAGGACAAAUGUCACAUGUGUUUGUUUUACACUCAUUCUUAGGGCUGGAAAAAAAAUGCCAAUUACCAUGUACCACGGUAUACCUACCAAGAAAUACCGAAAAAUUACCGAAAGAACGAUUACCAAUGUUUACGGUACGGUACUAGUACCGUACCAUUACAAUAUGGUACGGUAGCGGUAUUGUAUUUCUAAUACCACGGUAAUACCGUACCGUACCGCAAUUUAUAUUUUAUAAUUCGAUUAAGAUAUUUACUUCGAUAUUAUUUUUUGUAAUUAUAUUUUUUACUUGGAAACUUAUGAGUUGCAACAAUUAUUUUUACCUUAAGUUAGUGGUAGUGUAUUUUUACUUAGUUGUUUCAUUAAACCACAUUUAUUUGGGUUUAUAUUCUUGUUUCAUUGAAGCAAGUUAUGUUUAUUAUUCAUAUCAUACACUCGGGCCUUCUUAGAAAAUUAGAUACACUAGAACUUUUUUCAAUUGAGAUUUACAUAUUUGUUAGCUCAUUUGUUGUUUAAUCUUUGAUACAAUCACCACGUACGGUAGAGUACCACGUACCGAUUGUACCGUACCGAAAAUAAUGGUAUACCAAACAUUGGUAUACCGAACAUUUUGGUACGGUAACGGUAUGAAAUUUUCAAUACCACAAUGUACGGUAGGUACACGGUAUCGAGCCAAAUGUUUGGCAACCGUACCGAAUCCACCCCUACUCAUUCUUAUUAAACCCUUUCUACUAUCAUUCAUACCAUUAUUCUCUUGCACCAAUAGAAUUUUCAUCCAUCAAGCCUUGCGGUUAAAAUCCAAUCAUUUAUAUGUGUAGAUCCGGACAACAAAUAUCAUCCAUUAUAAUUUGUUAAGAAAGUCCAAUCCACGCAAGUUCAAUAAAACAAAUAGGUUCAUGCUCAUGAACCACAUUGGAAGGCACAUGCAUCCUCGUAAACUGCGUAAACGAUGAUGACCUUACGAGCUAAUACGGCGCUCCGAUCAUGGCGAGAUGGCAGACACAUUUAUUAUUGUAACUAGUGUAUUUUGAUGCUCAGACAUGCCCAUUAAAUACCCUGACACGAGCAUUUAACGCAUAAGUGUCCGACGACAGUCGAAAAACUUGAGAAGACUUUGAUUCUUCUCUACCCCUAGAGCAUGCCUAGAGGCAUUGCUAAAACCGUGACUAGAUGAUUAGGUGAUAAUGAUGGUCCGAAAUAUCAUGACACGUGCGAAAAAUAGGCAAAAACGACGAUUUGAGUGGCGAUUGAGACUGACGAACCAGUUUUUAGGAUCCUUUGGAAUUCGAGGAAGGUAUAUAAAUAGGGUUUCAUUUCACCCAUAAAAGGAAAAGAGAUUCAUAUACACAAAGAAGCAAGAUCUUUUUCAGUUACUUAUAUAGAUUCUUUUAAAAACCUAUGCCGAUAUCCAUUGACUUGACCGUCGAAGUGCUAACUCCGGCGUCAGUCCUAUUCUCUUUUUCCGUGCAAAUUGACCUUAGUUUUUUGUGAUGUUCCGUAGGCGGUCAAACUCGUAAAAAUGGCGUAUUCUUUUCCAUUUUUAAAUAUCUCUUUGGCAAUGAAUUUCUCAUAUAUUUUUUUCUCACUUUAUAUUUUAAGGUUUUUUUUCAUUUACAUGUAUGCCCCACAUGCAUUGAAUUGAUAUCUUAUUAUGUUAAAAGGGGUAUUUUGGACUUUUCUUGUAAAAUGAGUACUAUUUAAUAGAAAUAUCAAUUUUGUUAAUUUAACAUAAAUGUCACUAUUAAAUGGAUUGAGAAAAUAAUAAAUAUUAAAGUUAAUUUGGAUAGUUUAUAACUGGUAAUAUCCCUAUUCCGUGUCUAAAGUUCCCUAACCAAAAAAUUAUAUAUGUACAAAUAAGAAAGAAAAAAAAUGCAGGAACUCAAUUCAUUCAUAAGUGUACUAGGUAAACAUCCGUUCUCGUAGAACUGCAAUUGCUUGUAAACCACACAAGUCGCGUAAGAAAAAUGAAUUUUGAAGUGUUUGUAAAACUCCUUUUCUUGUCUUAUUUGUUUCAAAAGAAAAAAAGAGAGAGAGAAGUGGUCAUAAGUCAUAACUUAUAAUUUUUGUUAUAUUAUAAUAUUGAUAUGAUAAAUAAAUAAUACUCUCUUAUUUUCAUAUUAAUUGUCAUUUUUGUUUGUUGCGUAUAUAUUAAAAAAAACUCAAUAAGUAUGUAAGGUUUGUAAUAAGAAAACAUAAAAAGUCACUAAAAUACACAUGCUAUAAAUUGAUUUUCAAUUAAUUAAGAGGGAUAAAUGGUACUCCUUUCGUUUCAUAGUAUAUGUCGUUUUGGAUGGUUGCGCGCAUAUUAAGAGAUUCGAUAAAUACCAAAAUUAACAUAGUAAAUACUAAAAUACCCUUGUCAUUAAUUAUUUUUCAAUUAACUACUAAUUAAGAGUGAUAAGGGGCAAAAUUGAUUAAAAUGCAAUUAAUGCUUUCUUAGAACUCUAAAAUGAUAAAAAAAAACAUUGGACAAAAAAUACUAAAAAAGACAAAUAAUAUGGGACAAAAUGAUUAAAAUUGAAAAAAAAAUGUAAUUAAUAAUUCAUUGAAAUUGCAAAAUAAAAAAAUAAUUUAAGACGAAAAUAUUAGACAAAGGGGCAAAUAAAUAUGAAUGAAUGAGUAACAAAUCAGCUUUUAUGAUCCGAAAGUCGUUUGUGAUCAGAUCACACAAAAGAAUGAAGCAAAAAUGUAUUUGUCAUUUCCUCGAAAUUAAGCUUCAUUGAAAGUAAGACAAACAAAUUAACAAGUCGUAUUUUUGUUGCUGCUAAGAAAAUUCAGAAUGUGUAACAGUAGUCUAAUUGAAUGUGUCAACGAUUUUGUACUUGGAAUAUUCUUUCUAGGUGUUGACUGAGUUUGAGUCUCAUCCAACAGCUUUGUUCUAUGUUACACCCUCAUUUUUUCCUGGAUUAUUUAUCAUGUAAAUGCUUAUAGAUUCUCACAUAUUUUCAAUAUAUACGUACAUACAUACAUACAUAUAUAUUAUACAACUUUUGACAAUUUCAAAUUUGGCUUUAAUUUAGCCUACUAGUAAAAGGAUUUGAUCCAUUCUCACUGACUAACAAAUUGAUAUUAAUUUAUGUCCCUCAAAAAGUCAAAUGUUAAAAAUUAAGUCAAAUGUUAAAAAUUCCUUUAUCACAAAAUAUUUUUUGGUAUUGCUCAAUUAGGCAACUUCUUUUUAAUAGAAAACAAAAUUCACAUCCAAUUAUAUAGGUGCAUUGGGUAAACCUACAGUCUCAUAUAAUAGCUUGCAAUUCAUACGAGAGACGGUUAGCAAGAGCAUUCGACAAUUAGGCACAGUUGAAAUAAACAAAUUAGUGUAUCAAGAAUAGAACCAAUUAAAUUAAACUGUGUACACAACUAGAUUAAAUUAAUUAAGUUGUACAUUGAUGAAGGUUUCAACUUUUAAGAGAGAAAAUUUCAACUUCAUAAAGGAAUUGGCCAUAUUUGAAUGAUUCCCAACAACAAUACUUCAAAUUAUUUUAAAUUCUUAGCUCACAUCUUUGAACAAAGUUCCACAUAUCAUUUUCUGUAUUAGGAAAACAUGUUUACAGGUAUUACAAUCAAAGCUCCGAGGGUUUACAAACCCUCUCAUAAAACCAGAAAAUCGAGGAUAAAGAAACAUGCCCCCCGAAAAAAGGGGGGCUGAUAAAAAGAUCUAAAAUGGUUCAAUAAGUAACCAACUUUACGUAUGUUUAUUAUGAACAUUUACUCCCUUUUGCUAGUUCACAAAGUCGAUCAUUAAGAAAACAAAAGGAAGAAAAAAAAAGUUCAAAACUGCAUAUUUUUGGCUUCUUCUAUGUGCUCUCUUUUGCGUAUUUUCGGGUCUCCUCUGCCACUUUAGCCCACUCGUUUCCUAUUUUUUCACUAUAAGCAACCUGUAAAUGCACAAUUCGUAUUCAAGGACAAGAAGCAGAACAACAAACAGAAUUUAACACCAGAUGAUUUUAUUCUAGAAUUUAUUUUUUGAUCACCAGCAUUUAAUAUGACAUUUUAUAGUGUCGUUUUUGGAACUGGUGGAAUCAGAAAAUAAGAGAUAUCGGUAGCAGUUAAUACUCGGGGAGUAAUAAAAGUACCUGAUCAACAACGAACCCUUUCAACAUUUUAACAAAGUCGGCCUGCUUUUCGCCAUCUAGCCUCUGGAUUUCAAUCCUAUUAUUUUCCUGUAAUCACACCACACUAGAUCUAUUAGAAAGGACAAUCACGAAAAAAACGAGCAAUAAGACGAGAAUAGUCAGCAGCAUGGUUUAUUUUAUUCUAAUCCAUUUUCUGCUAAUGUUUUUAGCGUUGGCGUCAGUUACAAUACUAGACAAUAAAUAUUCUAAAGAUUCUGUUCCUCUUCGAGAAUCAAAUCUUCCUUCCGUAAAUAACAAAAAACCCUUUCGAUUCAGACUAGCGGGUCCUGAUCUUUUCCAUGUUCAAAACAUGACGAGAAUUUUUAUGCCACCUACUGAUGGAAGUAAUAUAAUUCAAAAAAGAAAACAAAGUAGAAAAGGAAACAGAUAACUCUAACAAUAAAUCUUUAUGUUAAUCCUGGCUGUUAAAACGUUCUCUGAGAAAGCAUUCUCGGUAUCUAUCAAGAAGCUGAAACGUUUAAUUUUUUACUUUUUUAGCUGAUAGGUAGUGAUUAAGUUUGCGUCUUCAUUAGUAAAUCGAUUUUGUGGACAAGUCUGCCAAUGAAUCACAAAAAACACGGACGUUUUACAACCAAAUAGUUUAAUAUCUAAGACAAACGUAAUUCCAGAACAUAAAACAACUCAAGUUUCUGACAAUAAUCUUAAUCCAACACAAAACUGCAACAUAAAUAUUUUCUGGACUAUAUUUAGGCAACAGGAAAGAAAUGCAUAUGAAAAGAGUCUAGAAGCAAUGUUAUGUUACUCUGUAACAUUCAGUACCAUCAAAAAUUGUUUAUAAUUAUUUACUUAACUUCAUCUUCGAUCACUUAUUGGAUCAAACUAGAUUAUAUUCAUUUCAGUAAUAUUCGCAGUAGCAAUUUUGCAUGUUAGGGUAGUGUUCCUUGUAGUUCUUAAUCUUGGCAAUGAGAGCGAAUCUGACUUACAAUGUCAUAGAAGUCAAUCUAAGGUAGUGAUUGUGGUGGUUCUUACAGGAAUUUUUGCACAGAUGGAAAUUUUCUCACAAAGCAUUUAGUAUAGGUAACAAGUAGCAUAAAUUUUCUAUAGCUAGUCCGAUAAUCACUAUUUACAUCCACAUGGAUGAAGGGCUUAAGGACAAAAACACUCAGAAAGCAACCCAACAGCCAAUCAGCACUCUAUGAAAAAAUAAAAUUUGAAAGCAGAUUUUGCAACAAGGGUUUUUCCUUACAGAAUCACCUUCGCAACCCAAUGAAUUCUCACCUUUUUAUUAUAAAUAACUAUCAGAUUAACGGGCAUACUUGAUCUCUAAGGCAACAAAACAAGCAUCGAAUAGAAAGCACCUCAAGUUUCAUACAGCAAUCCAACUAUCCAAGAUUCCAGGUACAAACAUAACUGUGCACAUUUCUUAAACUAUAAAACAGGCUCGAAAUAAUGAUUAACUAUACGUCAGACUUGGAUUAAUAAAAUAAUUAUGUGUGAUGCAGUUAUACUCUAUCCAACUUAUAAUAAAUUCUGCCUGUAAAACAAUAAACAAGGUAAAUGGUAAUCGAGGUUGUCAAAUUGGUUGGCAACUAUAAACAGUUUGCCACAGAGAAAUCAUUGGUUUUGAAAGAUCAAUAACUAGAUGAAAACUUCUAGAUUAACUAUCGAGAAUCUUUCAGAAAGAGUUCGUUAUUAGAUAAAUACAUUUAUAAAUGUUGCACUGAAAUUAUAAAAAGAAAUACAAAAUAUAAUAGUCAUAUAUUGAAGACAAGGUCAGUGGUGGAAGUACAUCUCUGGAAGUGCAACGUGAUUUUGUUAAGCAGCUUUACUUUUGAAAAACAACAGGAAACAAAAUAAGGUGAACUAAAACCUCAAUCUAGGAAGUCCAAAAUGCUUGAAAACUGCUAUAGGUACACAAUGCAAGUGAAAUUGAAAUGAAAAACCAAGCAAAAGACCAGAAAAUCAAGUAUAUCACACUAAAGAAAUGAUGCUUCAAUCCAAAACCUGAAAAUAAGCGUCUUUAUGAAAUUUCAAAGAAACUGGAAAGUAGAAACUAUAUAAAAUCUGGUCUAAACUCUGUUGGUAGCAUCAGAUAAGUUAUACCUUAAUCCUCUCGUAUUCUCUGAUUGCACAGAUUUUCGCAUCCUCUGUGAUCCUAAUGGCACCUUUUAGGUCCUCAAGUUUGCGGACCCUUGACUUAUCACCACCAAAAAUUUUAGAUGAUGCACCUUCGAGCUUUUCAGUUCUUGAAUGCAAAGAAGACAAAUCAGAUAUAAGAGUUUGCACUGUCAAUAAAGCACUAGAUCGAUCAGAGAAUGCACUGUGUACAGCUAACAUCAUGCCCAUAUAUUCGUGUAGUGUAUCCUGAAAAUACAUAAAGAGGAAAGAGAAAAGAGAUAAAUUAGUUCGGAAACAUGAAGUAGCUCGAUUGGAGAAUAUAGAAAGAAAACUCAACCCUUUUAUAGUGAUGCAACUUGCAACAUUAAUUUAUACUCCAAGAUAUCAAUUAAUUUGAUUUUCUGCUACUCUGUUUGUUUGGCUGACAAAACAAGAAAUUACUCUCCGUAUGGAAGAUAGUUAUUAUCUAUUAAAAGUCGAAGAUCCCAAUAAAUAAAAACCGGAAAAUUAAAACAAGAAACUAGUCUUAAAAGGAAACAUAUAAAGUGAGAGGACAAAAACAACAUGUCGUUUGAGAACCCACCAUAAUUUUGGUAGGAACAAAACCUAAUACAAUGACGGCAUGGCAUGAUAGGUAGAUGCAUCUAUACAUACCUCUUCUGGUUGAUCACACCAUACUCUAUUGUGGUAAAAUGAUCCAUACUAGCAAACAAUUAGACAGUUGCUACAUUUAAAUCGGAUACAUAUACAUUAAAUUAUAUACCAUAUAUAUGCACUAUCACAUAGAUAUAGUGUCUCUUUUUAUAUGUUUUUGUGUGUCCCUCCCAAUAAGAGCAUAUAAUUAGCUAUUUUUAGUUAAUCAGUCACAGUCGAUAAAUUUGGGAAGUCCUUUCAAGAUUGAGGAGGUAACUACCAUUUCUCAAUUAGAAUUCAUAAUUAAUAGAGCUAACAUAAUAAUUCCAUGGAAUGUGUUUUCCUACUUAAGGAAAAAGCUACACUUGGACUCAAUAAAAAUAAAGAAAUAAAAAAUAAAAGGCGAGGCCAGUAAUUCCUACGUCUUAUUAUUGCCAACUUAUCAUGACAAGAGUAAUGACCCAAAUGAGAAUGCCACACUUACAAAAUGCUUCACGGUCUGAGCAUUUAAUUCUCGAUAUAAUCUGCUUGCUUUGACAGCUGCCGUAGCAACAUUUUUCAUGUCCGCAGCCCUCGUUCUUUGAGAAUUCAGUGCCGCCUGCUCGUUCUCAAACUUUGUUAACUUGAUAAAAGCUAGACCUAGUUCUCCCAUAGUGUCUCCCAUAUCUUGCUGUGCUUUCACCAGUGAUUCAGCCUAUCAGUUCAGAGUACAAAAAUAAAGAGAAUCGCAAUCAGAAAAACGGCACUCAACCGGUUAAACUUUUAAUUGAAAAUUAAGGGCAACAACAUGGAUUGAAUGUCGAAAAAAACCUGUUUCGAUGCAUUAGUGAGUUGCUGCUCAAGAUCCCACAACUUCUCCUUCUUCUCCAAGAAAUCCUUAUCCUCCUCCUCCACAGAAGGCCUCGAAUUACCCCAAUCAUUGACAACAGAUUGCUUCAAUUCCUUAAAGAACCUCAGCAUAUCCCUUCCCCCUUUAGCAGAGUGCACUACAUCUUGCGGCUCAAUCGCACUGCUCGACUCCCCCAAAAGCUGCUUCGGCAGCCUCACUGCUCCGUCAAGCAUCCUCGAAGCCACGUCAAUGCUAGCUGGCAGCGGCAUUCUGUUAUCCACAGUCAAAAACGCCCUCAAAUCGUCACUUUUCUUAAUCACCGGAUGCCUCGAAAGCCUCCUCAAGUACUUCUCCAAUUCCACUCUCCUCUGCUCCACAAAGUCCUGCUUCUGCAUCACCUGACUCUCGACCACGCUUUUAUCCGGCCGUGGUGGGAUGAAAAGACCUCUGUAACCUUCGCCCAGACGAUCCGAUAGAGUAACCACGUCUUUAAACCGCCUCCUGACGCUGAAAUCGGUGCCGGCGUAAUCGGGGACAUUUGUGCUGGUGGUGAUCAGAUAGGUGACGUAAGUAUUGCCGCCGGGGACAAUCGAAUUGGAAGACUCCACCUCCUUCUGCGGAUUCAAAACGCUGAUCCUCAAAUACUCGGAACUGGAGGACUGAGAUCCGUUCGGCGAAAUCGUGGCUUCAUCGGAGAUAUCUCCGGCGCCGUUUGAUUCCGGGAAUCUGUCCUCGAAGGAGCUGAACAUAACGUCGGCGUAGGAGGGGGAAUCCAGAUGCGGGGUGUGAGUGGGGAAGAGGAGGGGAUCGGAGACGGCGGGAGUGGUGGCGAUGGACGGCGGAGAAAGGAGGGGAUGUUCGGCGGCGGAGGAAGAGAGGGUCGUCAUGGCGCUGCGGUAAUUGGAAUAGGAUUUGGAGGUCGAAACGUCGCCGUUCAGGAUACUAUCGCCGACGCCGUCGCCGUCGAGGGUUAGGGUUUGCAUCUGACCAGUGGUGGAGAGGGGGUGGUGGCAUUCUUCUUCUUCUUCGUCGUCAUCUUCCGGUUUACCCGGUACAUGUACAUAUUGGUGGUGGUUCUCUGAACCCAUCAUCGCUCUGGCAAUUUGGUAAAUUUGGGAUUUGGAUCAAAGACAAAAUACAGUAGAAUUAUUCGAUUUGUAUAAUAUGAUGAGUUAAUUCAACUGUUUUCAGUUCAGCUUCGUCUGCAAAUCCAAAAGAACAAUAUUUUUAUAUAGGCUGCGGCUAUAUGCAAGACUAAUUCCACUUGUGCAAGACCAAAUUAAAAUUUUUAAUGUAUAAAUACUAUAAUACCCUUAUUUAUUAAAAAAAUAAAAAAUUCCAAGUAUGCAAGACCAAAAAUUCAAAAACACAAAAAACCAUAUCACAAGACCAACUAUCAUCUUCUCCAUCUUCCAAAACCCACAAGACCUUUCUCCUUCCUCCUCCAUUAACCCACAAAACCUAGAAACUCAAAAUCAUCAAAACUCAACAAAUCUUACAAAGAUGGCAAGUAUGGAGUCAUAAGACAUCAAAAUAGAAGAUUCUAAGAUGGAAGAACCCAAGAAUGUAUGCAUUUAUGGGUUUUUUUUAGCUAGAAUAUCGAUUAUCCAAAAAAAAUCUCGCGCAAACGAAUUCGACAUGUACAGGUCGAAUUUUACAGGUAAAAAUCGACAUUUAGAUGUCGAUUUUGAGGUAUAAAAUUCGACAUUUAGAUGUCGAUUUUGAGGUAUAAAAUUCGACAUUUGAAUUUGUGCUAUAAAUUCGACAUGUCAAUGUCGAUUUUUACCAAUGAAAUUCGACGCUUAAGUGUCGAUUUGUAGCAUAGUUUUUCGACACCUUGGUGUCGAUUUUUGUUUUUUUCUCAUUAUUUGUAUUUGGUCUUACAUGAGAAAAAAAAAGCCAAUUUAAUUUAUGGGCAUACUUGUCAUUCCAUCUUAAUAAAAUAGAAUCUUUUGGAAUCUUUCUUUAAUUUGGUCUUGCACAAGUGGAAUGAGUAUUGCAUAUAGCCACAGCCUUUUAUAUAUUAUACUUUCAGUUUUCAAAAUUAGUUUUACUGACCUAAAAUUUAAUUUCAAUUUACAUGUUUUGGGCACUACCUCAUUUUUAUCAUGGGGUUUUUGUUCCAUUUUUUUUUCUUUGUUUUGGGUCUAAUUCUAAAUACGAUUCGGUCCCCAAUAGUUUACUGCACUUCUCCAUGUUAAGUUUUGUUUACAAUUAGCUCUCUAAUUAUCGUCAAAUGUUUGAAAUGCUCCUCACUUUAGAUUAGAAUUGCAACACUUAACAAAAAUGCUAUUGCUCGUAAAAUCGUUUCUAAUGCAACAUAUUUUCAAUGCAUAUUUAUUUAUUGGCAACGAAUAUAUGCAAGAUUAAAAUUACUAAGUGCAAGACCUUACUUGAUGCAAGACCAAAAUAUAAAUAAACUUACUGAGAGCAAGACUAAAAAUUACAAAUAUAACCCCAAUAAUCAUUUUGUUACUAUUCAUUCAAAUUAGACAUAAUUACUAUUGCAAGACCAAAAAGAAAAAAAAAAGGAAAAAGAUAAGAAAAAAAUAAAAAUAAAAAUAAAGGAGAAAUUAAAAAGCGAGAGAGAAGGAUGUUGUAGGGGAAGAAGAGAAGAACACAAGACGAGAAGAAUUGUCGCCGCCCAUCCGCUGCCUAAGAAUUGUCGCCGCCGAAAAAUUGCCGCGCGCCCAACCGCGGGUGCUUGAAGAAGAAGAAGAAGAAGAAGAAGAAGAAGAAGAAGAAGAAGAAGAAGAAGAUUCGACCUGUACAUGUUCAUUUUUUGGUGAAAAAUCGACAUUUAAAUGUCGAUUUUUGGGCAAAAAUCUAAAUGUUGAUUUUUUGGCGAAAAAUCACAUGUAGAUGUCGAAUUUAGUCACAAAAUUCGACUUGUAGAUGUCGAUUUUUUUGCUAAAAAAUCAACAUCUAAAUGUUGAAUUUUGUGACAAAAUUCGACAUGUCAGUGUCGAAUUUUGACUGUGCGAAUUUUUUGAAAACUUAAAAGUCGAUCACCUUACUAUAAAAAUACAUUCAUUCAUAGUUUGUUUUCUAUUUUUUCUAUAAAAUUCACCAUAUUGAUGUCUUGUGACUCCAUAAUGCUAUCAUUUGUAUGUUUUAGUAAGAUUUGAUGGUUUUGGCCUUUGGGUGUUGAGGAUUUUUUGAGAAGAUGAAGAAUUUUUUUCUUUGAAGAAUUUGUGUGAAAUAGGUUUGUGAGGAAGAUGAAAUGGGUUUUGCUUGUAUCUUGCACAAAGGAAGUUGUGGAAUUUUAUAAUUAUGGAUUUUGUAUUUUAGUAAGGGUAUAAUAGUCUUUUAGUAAUUCAUUUGGUGAAAAAAUAGAUUUGAUCUUCCCCUAAGUAAUUUUUGCGAUUGCAUAUAGUCGCGAGUCGGGACCUUAUUUAUUUCCCUCAAAAGGUUUUUGAAAUUUUUUUUUUCCACCAAAAAACGUUCUCCAAAAUCGUAUUCGUACAAACAUUUUCCAAAAACGUGCCGUUCUCGGACAACGCCAACUUAAUAUUUGUAUCCGUUUAUUUCGUAAUCACUGUAAGUCACAAUGCUCUGUAUUCCUACGAGAGAAACAUACAACGAGAAACAUAGGAAGACGAAGAAGAAAAAAGAUGAGGAGGAGAUUUUGAGAAACUACUGUUGCAGUUCAGAGUCGUUCUGUACCAUAUUUUAAAGGUUUGAUUUCUUGUUUUUAACAAAUUUCAUAGUUGUUGAAACCCUAACAGUAUGGUAAAAUUUGUUAUUUCGUUGUUGGGGCUUGAUACCAUUUUUUUUCCCUUGGAUCGCACGAUUUGGAGGAAUUGCAGUGAGGUAUUGUGAUUCGACAAUUUAACAUGUUGUUAGAGAUAUGUUUAGUUUAUAGGUUUUAAGUGUUUGUACUGUUUCGACGUAAUGAACGAAUUUAUAUAACAAUGUAUAAUUUUGCAAGUUGUUCUAAUAGUAUGAUUGUUCUUUAGUAUUUGAACUGUGUGCAGAGGAAAAUGAUUUCCUAUUAUGUUACUAUUGUGUUUUUGUUAACUAAAAUCGUAUAUGAACAAAGGCAACAUCGUGUUUUGUUUGUUGCUGCAAAAAUGGGUCCCAAGAAGAAAAACCUAAAAAUGUUCAAAAUUGGUCAUAGUUUUACCAAGGUGCAACAGUUGUCAACUGUUGAAAAGAUAUCCUCCAUAAUCAAACGAGUUCGUAUUUGAGAAUGAUGAAAACAUAGUAGUGAUCCCUUUUUUGCUCGAAGGAGUUUUCGAUAGUGUUGGGAUUGCACCACGAGGGGAAUCAAGUUGACAUAAAUUUUAAGAAUGAAGCUUUGCACACUAUUAGUCGCCUAUGCAGUGAAAACGUCUCAGACUCCAAACGUAACUUACUUUCUAAAAAAAAUUGAGGAUUAUGAAUGAGAUAACGAAAUAUUUCGCCGACUUAAUCGAAAUAUUUCCAAAUUUGAAAUAUUUUUAACCCAAAUACCGAAAGUUUCAAUUUCCAAUUUCCCAUUUUUCCACAAUAUGAAUACAUAAGAUUCAAAAUUUCAAUCGAUUUUAAUUUUUGAAAAGUUUAAUUAUUUAUUUCCCGCGAAAAUGGCCCUUACGAUAUCAAUAUUAUUAUAUAUUUUACAUUACGAGUGGCGAUAAAAGUGGACAUUUCGAAUUCUGACUAAUCAUCCGAUCAUAAAAAUUCCAAUUUCGUAACAAGUUUUUUCAUUCCAAUAUCGACUAAAUAUCGUUGCAAGUAAAUAGUUAUGGUGUGCAGGUGCUAAAGUAACACAUUUUAGUCACUACCUUUCUAGAAGUAGAAAUUAGAAUCUUAAGGCAACAUAAAAAAGAAAAACCAAACCCCAAAAGUGGUACUUAAAUACCGAAAAUACCCCUGACAUGACAUGAAAUCACAGGCCCACAGUGCGCCCGCGGAGAGUACUACACUACUGCUGCUGCUAACGCAAUUUUCCUCAUCAGCUAGGUCAAAGAUUCUCUCCCGCAACACCGUUUCAGAGUUGCUGCUGCGCGCUUCUGUGGCCCGGCCCGUUUCGAUUUCCCGUCGAGGAAAAAAAGAGAAUCUUGAUUUGUAUCGGUUUCGAAGAUCACUGUGUUGUUGUACGGAAUGGCGUCCAAAUUCGGGUUAGCCGGUGGCAUCCCGGAGCGGCGGGUCCGACCCAUUUGGGACGCCGUCGACUCUCGCCAGUUCAAGAACGCUCUCAAGCUCUGCACCGCACUCUUAUCCAAAUACCCGAAUUCUCCUUACGCCCUCGUGAGUACCCUCCAUUGUCGCAUUUUUUUUUUAAUUUUGUGCAAGAAAGAUUCUCUUUGUUGUUCGUUAAUGUUUUUCGGAAUCUUUUGUUGCUGAUUUUGUGCAGGCGCUGAAGGCUUUGACAUUGGAAAGGAUGGGUAGGAAUGAGGAGGCGCUAUCUGUUUGUUUAAAUGCCAAGGAGAUUUUGUGCACUAGUGACCCCAAUGUCUUCGUCGACGAUCUCACCCUCAGCACUUUGCAGAUUGUUUUCCAGCGACUGGAUCACUGUGAGUUUUUCAUUCUUCAUCGAUUCUUCAGUUAAUUAAUGGGGUUCUGUACAUUGAUGUAUUGGUUGUAAAUGGACAGUGGGGAUGGCCACGAGUUGUUACGAGCACUCUUGUGCAAAAUAUCCCAACAAUUUGGAAUUAAUGAUUGGCCUUUUCAAUUGUUACGUGCGAGAGUACUCAUUUGUGAAGCAGCAACAGGUUGGUGCAAUGAAUUCGCUUUGGGAACUUUUGUGCAUUCAUCAUUAUUAAAUCGCUUAUUCUCGUUUAUUACUCUUAUGUUGUGUUAUUUUCUGUUAUUUCUUGUCCUUAUCUUAGAUAGCUAUUAAAAUGUACAAGACUGCUGGUGAAGAAAGGUUCUUGCUCUGGGCAGUUUGCAGCAUCCAGUUGCAGGUUUUUAGCUACUUACUCUCCUAUAUCUCCUCCUCCUUUUAUAAAUAUAUGAUUUACGACUCCAUAGUACUAGAGGAAAAAGUGUCACGCUUAAGGUUUGCUUACAAGGACUGAUUUGAAAUGGUAAUAAGGUCAACAAGUUACGUCAAAAUGUCGUGUUUUUGUCUCAUUCAAUUAUUCUGUGUCUGUUUUCUGCUCUUCUGUUUCAAACCAAUAAAUGCUGUGUCCGAUUGAAUGAUUUUGAGUUUUUAGAAUGACUUGCGUGUAAGCCAACUCCUUUCGUUUUCUAAUAUAAUUUAUGUUUUUAUAUUAAGUGUAGAAUUUUUUUAUAUGUACAAUAAAUAAAAUUUGUGCUAAUAAAAUUAAAGAACUUUCACACAAAUACACUCCAAUUACUGAAGUUUAAAACUACAUAAAGAUUUCUAAUUUUUUAACUUUAUGAAGCUUUUGUAUUUUUUUUUCCUGUAAUUUGAUCUCUGAAUUUGUCAUGAACAUCAUAUAAUUAAUUUUACAUUUUGUUGCAUUUUUUGUAUAGUUAUAAAAUUUCAAUGUUUAUAAUAAAAUACAAUUAUAUAAAGGAAAAGUAGGGGAGAGGGUGCGGCAAAAAAGGGCCGCAAUUCGUGGGCAUUCUGGCCGCAAGUUAUGGGCAUUUGCAGCCCGAAAUGGCACUUGGGGGGGGGGGGGGGGUGCGAGUAGUAGUUAUUUGUUGCAUACGGAACAUGCGAAAAGCAUCACCUGGUAAAGAAAUGUUGGCAAAUAACUUCACAUUAUUAAGAAUUUUAAUUUAUACCACUACUGUUCUUUUUGGAAGUAGUAUGUGAAACUAACAUUAAAUUGAUGUAUGUAACAAGCGGUUUCUUAUGCUAUAAUUUAUGGAGCACUUUUUACUAUGCGGUAAAAACUUAUUUCUGGACUAAUUUCAAUGGUAGAAGAAGUCACAUAAGAUUANNNNNNNNNNNNNNNNNNNNNNNNNNNNNNNNNNNNNNNNNNNNNNNNNNNNNNNNNNNNNNNNNNNNNNNNNNNNNNNNNNNNNNNNNNNNNNNNNNNNUGAUUUUGUUUUUCCUCUUUGUUCUCUAAUUUACAACACGCACCCCCCCCCCCCCCCCCGAUUGGACUGGACUGGUUCAUCUUUUCAGGCUAUAUAUAUAAAUUGCACAAAAUGAUGAACUUAUUGUGCUUAUAGCUAUGGAGAGCAACUGGUUACUAAUUAUUACUCGUAUGAGGGACUUCGUUUCAUAGCAAUUUUAUUUUAAUCUAGAUUUGUAUAUUUAUGAUAGAUUUGAAGCAGAAAUAGUCUGCGGAUUUUGAGUCCAAGUAUUAUCGCGUAUUGAUUCAACUGGAACAAAAUCGCUGACAUGCUUUCUAACUGUUCAGUAUUUCCUCACAUUUUAACUUUUGAAAGUAUCUGUUUGUAUUUGUUCAAAACUGUUAUUCAAAUAUUUAAAGACUAUUGAAAUAAUAUUUUUGGCCUUUCAUAUGUGUACAUGAGUAUGUAGCAUGCACAAAGUUGGUGGGACAAGCCCAUACAAAUUGACUCAUAAGUAUGCAGUUAUAUUUAGCACUGAUACCAAUUUCCUGAAUAUGAUGAUCAUGUAAAUUUAGACUUUGCUGAUCCUUGCCAAUGAUAUAAUCUGUUCAUAACUAUUUACACUUUGCUGAUAAUUACAUUUUUUAUGGUGUUUGAUCUGGUUGAAGGUUUGUUGUGGCAAUGGGGGGGAUAAGCUUUUCCAGUUGGCAGAAGGUUUGCUCAAGAAACAUAUAACUUCUCACGGUUUGCAUGAGCCAGAAGGUGCUUCUUCUUCUUCUUCCUCUUCCGACUGUUUUCAGUAGGUACUUUGAAGGAAUGUAGUUCUGGAUUUUGGGGGAUUGUUUUACCUUCUGAAGCCACUAUUAUUUGAUGCAGCGCUUAGUGUUUAUAUAUCUCUAUUGGAGCAACAAGGCAAGUAUGGUGAUGCAUUGGAGAUUCUUUCUGGAAGUUUAGGAUCUCUUAUGUUGAUUGAAGUGGACAAACUACGGCUACAGGUACUCCUUAGAAUAUUACUCUCUAGCAAUGUAUCUCAAUAACAGCCUUCAAUAUGGUUUGUUUUCACCCCAUACAAGUCCACUACGGUUGCUCUUCAAUCUAUUUUGCAAUUAAGAGCACAAACCGUAUAUUGAGUAGUUUCUCAUGUGAACUUAAGAUCAUUGGUCUGAUAGGUGGAGUGUUGCAUGCGAGCACAAACUGUAUAUUGCGUCAAUUGUCAUAUAUUGGUAGUUUGGUCCAACUUUGUUACAAUCUAGAAGAAAGAGAUUUUAGUUUCUGGCUUUCACCCAAAUUCUUCCAAUUUUAAAAACACAAUUUGUAGUUUGACACAUCCUCAGAAUUUUUGUGAAUGAUUCACUACCCUUUUUAGGUAUGCCCUUCCCUUUUUCAUAACUCUAUUUAUACAGACCCACCAAGGAUACUCUCUGCGCAGAUGUGUAAAUUCCAUUUUAAAUGGUAAAUUAUUCCAAGAUAUGUAUGGGGAAGUUUUUAGAAUGUUAUCGACAAAAAUGAACUUUGGAGUUCUGCCAUCUUUAAUAUUUCUUUAGAUGGUUUAAAUAUUCUUCAUGAAUAUUAUUGUUUGCGUAAUUCAAUUUAGUUCUCCAUGGUAGUUUCUGUUCGUCCUUAUUUAAGUUUGUUCCUGUAACUGUAAGUUGACAGGGAAGGCUUCUUGCUAGGGCAGGAGACUAUGCUGCUGCAGCUGACAUAUUUCAGAAAGUUUUAGAAUUAUGGUAUGCCUUUCAAACUUCUAUAAAAAAUAAUAUAAAAGCAACCAAGUCUUGGGAUUUUAUCGAUAAAAUAAAUAAUUGGUUUAUCUUUAUGUUGUUUAGUAAAGAUGAAUGUUGCUGUGGACAUAUGAACCUUUUUGAUAUUCUGGAAUUUUGUAUCAUUUUAAAUUUUAAUCUAACUCUAGUAGACUAUUGAAUCUUAGUAACAGAUUUGUUAAAUCCAUCAUUUUCUAGUUAUCUAAGUGUAAUAGGUUUUGAGAAGAUUUUAGGUAUCUUUGCAUCUGCAGUAUGAAAAGUCACAACUAUUAUUGUUGAAGCCUCUUCAUAUGAAGAAUGUAAAAUAAUAUGAUAACUGCUGUAGGUUUAUCUGCUAUCUCAAUGCUUAAUUUCAUAGUUUCUAUCAUUUUUACUGAUUUGCUCGACACAUAUUUGACAAUUUUUCUUUUUCUUUCUCUGGAUUGUAGUCCCGACGACUGGGAAAGUUUACUGCAAUACCUUGGCUGUCUGCUGGAGGAUGAUAGUAUCUUGAUCAAAGAGACUGAUCCCGUCCACACACUAAAAUCUAUUCAGUCCAAGAAUUUGCAUAUAUCAGAUGAACUUGUAACUUCUUUAGUUCCCUUCAACUUACUUUACGAAUAAACAUUCUACAGCAUUUGACUUGUUCAACUUCUUUGUGCAGUUUGAUUCACGUAUGUCAAGUGCAGUGAGAUUUGUACAGAAAUUAAUGGAGACCAAUAGUAAUUCUGAAAGAUGUCCAUACUUGGCACAUCUUGAAAUUGACAGACGAAAGCUUCUGUUUGGGAAAGGUGAUGCUGACAAAGUGGUUGAGGAUCUCAUUCAAUAUUUUAUCAGGUAUAUCAUACCCUGAUAAGUCUACCUUUAGCAUUUGGUUCCUUUGUCUUUCAUUUUAUAUUCUCGGAUCACGUCUUUUUUUUUUUUUUUUUUUUUUCUUGUUUUCAUCUCAAUCUUGAUGUAAAGAUCAUGAACACAUGGCGUCGAUCUGUGUUUUACUCGUGCUGACGGUUGGGUUAUCAGCCUUUAAUUUUUGAAAAAGGGUCGGUGUAGUGAUUUUUAUCAAAUCAGUCUAUUCAUGAAUCAUGACAUGAAAAAUGAGUUCAUUUUUACAGCACCUACAAAAAUCUGUAAACGUAUAGCAUAAAUGGCAAAGAGCUGUAGAUGUCUUUCAUUGCCAGACUACCAGUAUAUUGAAUUUUGAUUGCACACAUGAUCAUUACUUGACACUUCUGCAUUUUUUCUUUAUGAUCAUACAAUCGAACGCUUGUUUCUCUGGGUGCAGGUUUGGUCACUUGUCUUGUUUCACUUCAGACGUCGAAAUGGUUCUUGAAGUUCUUGAUACUAAUAAGAAGAGCGAGUUUUUGAAGAAACUAGUGAAGGAAAAUGAAGCUAGUAGCACGGAUGUGCCAACUAAAGAACUUGGGAAGUCCAUAACUGUAUUCAAAGUCCAGAACUUAAUUGGUGAUGUUUUCGCUCUACCGGUGGCUGGUAUGCAUUCAGUCAUUUCAUUUUAUGACUUGAUCUGGUUCACACUUCUGUUAAUAUAAAUCUUGUUGCCCUUUUACCAUUUCAUCGCAAUUGCAUUUGUUUCUUCUAGCAGAGAUUGCCUCCUUUCACCUCCAUUUUAUUGGAGCAUUUUUUUUAUAAAUCUUAAUGAUUUAUGGACUAUAAAAUAUGGAUCGUUUUUGUCUUUCUUGCUUCACUAAGUUUUUUCACAAUCCAUGAUGUCGUUGCUGUUUUUUUUAUACUUUAUGUAACACUCGUUUACAUCAUAUGUUGUACUUACUUUUUGUGGAUCUAAAUNNNNNNNNNNNNNNNNNNNNNNNNNNNNNNNNNNNNNNNNNNNNNNNNNNNNNNNNNNNNNNNNNNNNNNNNNNNNNNNNNNNNNNNNNNNNNNNNNNNNGGUGCAGGUACUGGUUUAUGUUCACAAACUUGUCUUCAUAAUCUCAUUUAUCUGCUCCAGUUGCUUUGUAUGGCACAAGUGGUACAGAAGACUUGUUUAUGUUUUUCUUAUCCAAAACUUGAUAAAGAACAGUGAACUUUUUAUGUAAUGCAUCUUCUCAAUUGUGAUACUAUGUAUUUGGUUUAGAGCUUUGCUCAGACAGUUUGAACCUGGAUCCCCUUUUAUUGCACUUGCUGUAUUUUCUCUCACAAGACCUAUCACAGCAGAUAUGAAGCUAAUAUUCUGACUUCCUAUCAUAUGAUUCUCUGUCCUUGCUAAUGGUGAUAUUGCAGACAUAUUACAGCAUGAAACACUUCAAACAAAUCCCUAUAUACUGGUCCUUUGAUAGCAAGUUUCAGCAGGAACAUAAAUAGCUAGAGCGUAUUCUUGUCUCCUAUUUUGUCCUCCAUUUACACAGUUUAACUGAUCGUAUUGCUAAUGGAUUUUGAGUUACUCCGGUGCAAGCUUUUAUUAUGUGGAUUAUAUGUCUUAUGUUCUGCUCUGAAAGUCUUUCAGUUUCUUGUUUUGCUUUGAAAUCCGAGAUAGAAUAUGGAUGUAGGUAUAUGUUACUCUUGGGUGGGUUUCAUUUGAGAAAUCAUGCUCUAAGUUGAAUUUCAUCUUGUUUUUGGGAUUUUUGAAACCUAAUGCUAUAUUUUCCUGGAUUUGUUUUUUCGUGCUGAAGUUAUUCUCGAUAAUGUCCCCUAAUUUGUUUCUCUCACCAAUCAUUUGGAAAAUUUUGCCCCCACUAUCACUUUAUCAUGCCGAUUCUCCUAUUUGAAUACCCCUACCUAUAUAAAUCAUGAUAUAAAAUGUAAUGUGGAGGAACCACUGUCUCUCUUCAAGUCUAAAUUUUAUUUUGACAAUUGACUUUUUAACUUCUCUAUUAAGGUUUUAUGUUUAGUUAAUUGUAUGUGCUCACCUUAGUUCACGAAGAAUUAUGUUGUUUCAAUCAAUAAUAUUUUUGACUUUGUGGCAGCUUUUCUGGCGUACAAGGGAUCUUGGCUAUUUGUUGGAGUCGAUUAUGAUUCUGGAAUUUGGUUUGACUAUCCGAAGGUUUGGCAUUUAACUUCGCUGAUUAUUUGCUGUCAGUGCUUCAUGCUAUUCCUUUAGACUGUUUGCAUGAAUGAUUGGCUGUUUGCAUAUUAAGUCAAUAGACUCCUGAUGCCUUAAGAACGUAGACUUUAUAUCUUGUUGGUUGUCACAUUGCUAUAUGCCCUUGGAAUAAUGCUGGAGAUCUCCUUGAAGUUUGCAUAGAGACCUUACGGAUUUUCUUUUAUGCCCUGAAUUCUUGUACGUCCAUAGUACUAGGAAGAAAAAUUGUUGAAACAGUAUACUUGCAUGGGUUGCAACAGUUUGGGUUAGUCUGAAUGCCAAUGGUGUCGGUCAUGGUUGUAUUUAUUUUGGACCUUUGUCUUGUAUUGAAUGUUAGCAAAGCAUGCAGAACGCACUAUACUAUAAAAUGUGUUGUAUCUCUCUUGCAUUGAUGUUUUUCUGAGAUGAAUGUCAUAGCUUUAUUCCGAGAAUAUGUGUACAAACAAAUUGCUGCUACAUCUAAAUCUCACAGUUUCUUAUUUUCAUUGUCUUUUGCAGAUAUGUGUGGCAAUAUAAGAUUUUGUUGGUGCAUCUUUAUACUUACUGGAAUUCCCUUCCAUUAGCUUAUGAACGGUAACCAAUUCUUCAGCUUUACCAAAUUCUGCUACUAUGUGGCUUGGAUGGUUGACUAGAGGGUCCGAUUUGAAAUCUGUAUUGAGUUCUCUGUUUUACUGCACCCUGGUUUUGAGUUUCUUUCUUCUAUGUAGUUAUAAAUCCUUGGAUGUGAAGAAUAUCUUGCUGGAGACAGUAUCUCACCACAUUUUACCACAAAUGUUAGUAUCUCCUCUGUGGGCAGAUUUAAAUGAUCUAUUGAAGGAUUAUUUAAAAUUUAUGGAUGAUCACUUUCGGGAAUCAGCAGAUCUUACAUUCCUUGCGUAUCGACAUAGGAACUACUCAAAAGUAAGUUGGAUGCUUUUAAAAGUGCUUUAUUAUAUUUAAACUUUUAAUAUUCUUGAGUGACUUGUCACCGUUCUCUUGGAUCUGAAAGUAUCCUCAAGCCGUGUUCAGCUAGCCCAUGUAUAGAAUGGGUAAUUUUUAUUUUAGAAAAGAAGCUUUGGACCUUGGGAACUUAGUAUCCAUUUAUCUGUUUCCUUUCAAUUUUUGGAUGAAAAUCAUUGUUAAAUAGUUAAGAUUGGUAUGUGCAUCUUCUUUUAUCUCGAUAUUUUAGAUGCAAACUCAAAAGAUCCCAAUUCAUUUUCUGAAAAUCUAACUCCUGUUAUACUUGCUUAACAUCUCGGGUGGGGAUAACUGGCAUUGAGUGGAGUUACUGCAUCGAAAUUUUGUUAAAAGAUAUUUGAUGAAAGUGUCUGUUAGAGCACCAAAGUGUGGUACAUGCGGCAUUUUGUUAACGUGAUUUAGUUUUUUGGAACACACUCUUGAAAUUACAUGUAUUGCUUAAAUUAUAGUUUUGUAGAUGCUCUUUGUAAAUCUCCCAACCCCAUGUCCCAACCCCAUGUCAUGUUUUCGUAGAGGCUGAUGUUCUGUUAUAAAAUCAAGAAAGGAUAAUUGCUAGAGCACAAAACAGUUACACAUAAACAUCUGAUAAUGGCAAAUGCUAGUUGACAUUUAGGGGUUCAAUAUGUGAGUAAAAUUGUCCCAAUGCUUCUUUCUCAUGAAAGAAAUAAACAAGUCUCUUGUCACCAAAUAGCACUUUGUUUGCUAUAAUAAAACUUGUAGUCUUACAUUUUUCCUUGUCUAGGACAUAAGCUGAUUAUAGUCCUUUGUAGUUUAAUGAUUGAACUUGAUUUGUGUUUUUAUUUUUAUUUUUUCAUAGGAGUUUAAGCAACUUUAUUUGAAUGUGCUAUGUGACAACUUACAAAUCCUCUUCUUUUUUGAUGUUAUAGGUUAUUGAAUUUGUGCAAUUCAAGGAAAGAUUGCAGUGUUCUGGUCAGUAUAUAAUGGCAAAGAUUGAAUCACCCAUUUUACAACUAAAACAGAACUCAAAUAAUAUUACCGAAGAGGAGGUAAAUAUGUUCUGCCCCUGUGUUUUACCACUUGUUAUCUGUUUUACCACUUGUUAUCUACAAGAUUAUCAAACUUAUAUCUUAGCUCCAAAUUUUGGGAAGAACCGAUGUUUCCAGAUUUGAUAUGUACGGUUUAGCAUUUUUCAUUUAUCUUGAUUUAGUGAAAAAAGUUUUGAUGAUGCUAGAGAUAGAUCACCUUAGAUAGUUGAAGUAGGAUGAGCUGGAAGAGCAGAGUGGAUCACUGGCUCACGAGCUUGAUGACCUUGAGAUACCUGCGAUUAUAGAACACGGGAACUAGGCCGGGGGUUGAUCCGGCGGAAACCCCUCCGACGCUCAAGUCAGACGUGCGGAUGGUAGAAAUAGUCCAGAGAAUACAUGUCUUAUUGCUCAGAUAAUAGGACGUACCUUAAGGAAUGAGUUCAAACCUUUAUUUAUAGCUUAGUUGAGAUUGUCGGGCCCAAAUCUUACUUGAAGGUGAUUUGGGCCUCGGUGAUAGUGGUCUUAAAUAUUGGGUUCGUGACCCAUUAGGUAAAGAAAUUGUAGGCCCAAUGGGUUGGCCCAAUUAGGCAUAUCAAGUUUCUAUGUCACUAAUUAAUACUAAUCUAAAAUCUAAUACAAUAGAAAAUGCCAAAAUAAAAAAGAACUCUCUUUUCUGUAUGCGCUUCAGUUGGCAUUGUGCGCUUCAGUCUAUCAGAAAAGUACAAAGAGCUUUCGAGAAAACCUGUUUACUGAACUUUAACUUUUACCCAAAUGAGAAUAUUUCUGAACAAAAUUCUUUCUCAGAGCAUCCUGGAAAAUUUGAGAUGUGGAACUCACUUCAUGGAGCUAUCAAAUGAGAUCAGAAGCAAAUCAUUGACCUUUAAUGAGGACCUGAAAUUGCGACCUUGGUGGACGCCAACUUCUGAUAAAAAUUAUCUCUUGGGUUAGUAUUCUCCCUUCUAAUUUCAUAGUUGUAAAAACUUAGUUGCAAAAAACAGAUGCCCGUUGCUUUAUCCAGGGAUUUCUACACCAAUAAUCUUUCUUAAUGCAAUUUCUCCAAUGGCGUUUAUUUGUCCGUGUUACCCAAUCUUGUCAAAAAGCUAUCUUAAUACUUGCUCUAUGGCGAUAACAUCUAUUGAUAAAUGUUUCAUGUUUCCAGGACCCUUUGAAGGAGUGUCAUAUUGUCCUAGAGAAAACAUGGUAUGAAUAUUUUCCUUUCAACUUAUUAUUUUGUUGAUGACAUGUUUUUUCCUGAUAUAAUGGAAUUUUCAACGAAACUUUGUUGAUUAUCUUUUAUUGUGUCCAUGCGUAACUUAUAUCACUAAAACUGACCGCCUUUAAUUUCAUAUAAAUUCUGUAAUUUUCUGAAGUUGUAAAGGAUUAGAUUUGCUUUACCUUUGUGUGGAUCAGCAACUCAUGCUUUUGUUAGGCCACAAAUAAUUCUUAUUACUAGUAUUAGCAUAUGCGAUGGUAGCCUUGUCUUCAAAUUAUACAUACCUGAGAUAUUACCAAAAUCUAGUGCUUGUGGAGCUCUGUUGGAUUUUUGUUUUGGGUUCAUAGACACGAUUUAAAUCUUCUUGUAUCUUAUUCCAUCUUUCUUUAGUACCUGCCAUUUCGUCGGGUUACCUUCUUUCAGUGGUCGUCUGUGAUACUGAUCCAGCAAAUAAAACAGACUGAAACUUUUUUUCACUAUUUUUUGAAAUCUGAAUCUUUUCUUAUUCAAAUCGUUAAAAGAAUUUGGCUCGUAACCAAGGUAAUCUGACAUCUAAGCUUCUGAUAACAUUUGCUUUGUUUAUUCCGCUGCUGUUUUUUUCUGCUAUAUUGUUUUGCAAAAGACAUUGAUUUGUGUACCUGACAUCUUUUCUUAGUCCUCGUCAUUGACAGAAACUCCAAAAUUGAUAGUAUCUUGAGUUGAUUAAAUAAUGUGGUUCUAUUUCCAAACUCCAAAAUUUGAUAUACACCACUCUCUUGCAGCAUAAUCAGAUGAAGCAAACAGAAUCAAAUGUUCUGAAAACCGUUGAGAAAAGAUCUCUUCUACCAAGGAUGAUCUAUUUGUCAAUGUAUUCUGCUUCAACCUCGGUGAAGGGAAGUAUUGAAGCCAAUGGGUCGGUAGUUGAUCCGAAAUUCUCAUCGGAGCUAAAAAUGUUACUUGAGCGCUAUGCUAAGUUCCUGGAAUUUCCCUUCCAAGAUGCGAUAGAACUUGUCCUUGGGGUUUCAAGUGGCCAGAAGCCCUUUGAGGUAUGCUCUUUUUCAUUUUACAGUUAUCUCUUAUUACUUACUAUGAUCGAAGUCGACAAAUUGUGUCUAGUUGUACUAUAUGCUAGGAAAUUCACUAAUGAUCAAGUAAAUUUACACUUGCGCAGGUACCAAAUUCGGAUAUCAUUGACUGGAUGAACUUUGCCGUGUUUUUGAAUGCUUGGAAUCUAUCUUCUCACGAGAUUAGUUUUCCCGAUGGAAAAGAUUCUCCCUCUACUACAUGGAAUCUUGUAAAUACUCUGCUGAGAAAGUAUGUCUUCGACAAGAUCGAAUCUGCGGGGCCCAUCAUUUCUUCUCCAGGUGGCGAUCUUCCAUUGCUGGUGCAGCUGGUAACAGAACCCUUAGCUUGGCAUGCCCUAAUCAUCAACUCUUGCAUCCGCUCGUUACACCCUUCUGGGAAGAAGAAGAAGAAAGGUGGGCCCGUGGACCAAUCAAAUUCCCAGCUGUCAAACGAGCUACUAAAUUCAAUACAGUCUCUUUGUGAUACAAUUGAGGUGGUCUCGAAAUGGUUAAAGGAACAGCUUAAAAAACCCAGCGAUGAAAAAUUUGAAUACAUAUUUUCCGCGGUUGAGAAAAACGGGCCGGGCAAAGUGUUCAAGACUUUGGAGACUUGUGUCGAACAGAUGAAGGGCGUCGAACUUGGUGAUAGAAUUCUCGAGUCGCUACAGUCGUGGGCUCCUGCUGAUGUUGUGAGGAAUAUUAGCGCGGGGCAAGACGGUUUGCUAUCCGAGUUUCUCAAAAUUUGUGAACUCAAAAUUAAAUCUUUGCAGGCGCUUAGACUUCAACUGUAGGUCAAGUGAGUUGAAGAGUCGGUUUCAAGUGAGAACUUAAUUAUUUUUUCCUGUUAUGAUGCACAAUUUUGUUAGUUCCGUGUUUUUUUUUUCCUUUUCUUUUCCAUUUAGGUUUAUUUCGAUUCAUCGGAAGAUGCAUGGGAAAUUGGAGUGUUUUGAGAGAGUUUUUUUCCGGUGUACCAUUGAUUUUCUCUAUUUAUAUGUUGUAUAUUAGAAUAAAAAAAUGUUCUUUGAUUAACAAUUCUGAAAUGUGUUUUGCAUAUUUUUCACCUAAAAGUUUAUAGCUUCCAUUAAUUAAUCUUGAGAAAGAAUUUGUUUUAGUUGGUUGGUUGCCUAGUUUAUGCAAUUAUAAUCAGUUUAUUAGUUAUGAUAGAGCAGUUGGAAUCACCAGACCCUUCCAUGUGAGAACUCUCUCCCGGAGCUGAAGAACUAACCACUCCCUCUAUUAGAAAGUCGAAUUAGCAACUUUUAGUCGAGUUUUCAAGUGGAUGAGAUCGGUCGAGUGGUCUCGGUUGUAGAUGGUAUUGCACGUAUUUAUCGAACCUCGUAAUUUCUAUUUUACUGUUACUACAUUGCAUAUAAAUUGGAGCUCGUGGACUGAUUGUAUAAAUAAGGGGCUAAUACAGAUAAACUCAUCAUGUGCUACUUAUUCAUAAAGAGGAUUGACCAAUAUUUUUGUUUGCAAAAAAAUCUAAAUAAAGUCCAGAGGUGUGUAAAAGAUAAAAAUAAACACUCAUAUUUUAAUUUGCUCCAAUUUCAUCAUUUUACUCAAUUUAACCUCAAUUCGAUUCUAAAUUUCACAAAUUAUUCAGUUUUGACUCUCAAAUUUUGACUCCAAUUUUAACCGUCACCGUCGGUCAGCCGCUGUCGACCGCUGUUGACUUUUUUUUUUCCCGAACAUUUUUUGGCCACGUAAAAAACGGUAAUAUUACUGUGGUUGGCAAUAUAUUAACUACUAUAUUACUGUUUAACAAAGUCAUAUUGUUAUAUUACCAUCUAGCACAACAAUAUUAACACAACGAAAUCGCUAUGUUACAUAAUAAAUUAUUGUGUAAUGCAAUAAUAUUAUUAUGUUGCCCAGUCGACAAACGCAAACACAGUAAAAAGUAAAAAAAAAAUAAUAUUGUUGUGGUUGACAGUAAUAUUACUGUAAUGACAGUAAUACUAUAUUGUGUUUACAGUAACAUUAGUGUCAACCACAUUAAUAUUACAAUAGUAGACAUAAUAUUAUUACGUUGACGGGUCAACUAAUCAACAAAAUAAAAAAGCCAAAAAAUAAAUAAAUAAAAUUGAUGUGGUUGGCAGUAAUAUUAAUGUGUUUAUAAUAAUUUUACUGUCGACCACAGUAAUAUUACAAUAAUAGACACCAAUAAUAUUAUUAUGUUGACCGGUCAACAAAUAAAAAAAAAAGGAAAAAAAAAUAAUAUUAAUGUAGUUGACAUUAAUAUUAUUGUGUUUACAGUAAUUUUACCGUCAACGACAGUAACAUUACUGUCACCGGUUAACGGCGGACGGGAAAAAGAACAGAAAAAGUUAAAAAAAGAAAAGUUUGAAAAAGAAAAAGUCAAAAUUGAAUUUUUUUGUCAAAACUGAUGAAAUUAAAGUUAAAUUGAUGAUACAAUUAGGAAUUUGAUUUAAAGUGUUGAGGGUAAUUUUGUCAUAUACAUUAAGUUUGACUUUAUUUAUAAGACAUAUUAAAGGGAUUAGUUUAUUGACAAAAAAAAUAAUAACACCUAAAUCUAGAAUAAUAAAGAUGGUUGAUCAAUGACCCCCUCACAACAAUCUAAAUAAAUGGCAAUUUGCUAUAUGUCCUCUUAUAAGAAACUUUAUGUGUAUAAAUCCAACUAAUAACUCUUAAUUUUAAAUAAAUAUAUUGUAAUUAUUAUGUCAAAAAUACCCCUAAAAAAUAUGGAAAUAAAAAUCUCCAAAAUAAUAGACUAUUUUGUAUAAUCUUUAAUCCCCAAAUAGUGUAUUUCUCAUUCUCAAAUCUUUAAUUUCUUUUAGAAAAACAAAAGCGGUCUAGACAAAAAAUAUAUCGUCACUGCCUUGCAGCCCUUGCCAUAGAUAAAAAUCGUUUGCAGUUUGCAAUUUUGAAUCUCUGUUUGCAACUGUUUCUUCCCUGCCCUGUCAUAGUUAGGAAUCAUUCGCAGUUUGCAGUUUUGAAUCUCCGUUCGCAAUUGCUUCGUCCCUAUUUUGCCAUAGUUAAAAAUCAUUCACAGUUUACAGUUUUGAAUUUUUGUUUGAAAUUGCUUUGUUCAUGCUUUGCCAUAGCUAAGAAUCAUUCGCAGUUUACAGUUUUAUAAUCUCUGUUUGCAAUUGCUUCGUCCCUACCUUGGCAUAGCUAAGAAUCGAAUGGCAAGAAUUGUUCGCAGCUUGUGGUUUUGAAAUCUCCAUUUGCAGUUUUGAAAUCUCCAUAGAUAAUAAUCGUUCGCUUCAAGCCUAAGAAUUGGUUGCAGUUCAAAUCUCUUCGUCUGUUUUUCAUUAGUAUUUGUUGGUUUGAUGGUUUGAAUAGAGAGAGAGAGAGAGAGAGAGAGAGAGAGAGAGAGAGAGAGAGAGAGAGAGAGAGAGAGAGAGAGAGAGAGAGAGAGAGAUUUGUUUCUCACUUACGUAAAUAACUAAUUCCAUAAAAAAUAAAGAUUAAUAGUUUUAAGGGUACUUAUGCCUAAUAGCUUUUAAUUCUAUUUAAUUUAUAUUAUUUUUUUGGGUCAAACGAUCUACACCUAUAUUCAUCUAAUCAUUAUGAUCUUCACCCCAUAUAACUUCAAGAAAUAGGACCUCAAGCCAAUUUCUCUAUAAAUAAAUGAGUCAAGCUGCUAACCCCAUGAAGAAAUACGUAUACGCAACGUAGAUUUUGCGCACGAUAAUUGUGUAACUUAAUAUGUUGCACUUCUAGGAAACAACACAUAUAAACUUUAAAUAGAAUAAUUGGGCAAAUUAUUGCCACUUCCUGAGGUAUGUUAAAUUACAAAAAAAAAACUCUUCAUGUUUGAGUAAUUACAACCACCCCUUCAACUAUGUAUUGUCUUACACGUUUAUCAUUACGGUGUCAAAUUUACCUAUUGAAUGAGGGAUCAGUAAGACAAUACAUAGUUGUGGGAUUGCUUGUAAUUAUACAAACAGAUGGAUUUUUUUUUUGUGAUUUAGGCUUAGGAUAAUUCAGGAGAUGGCCGUAAUUUACCCUAGAAUAACUUAUUAAUUGAAUUUCAAAAGUUAAUGAAUUAUUACCAAAAAACAAAAAGGAAGAAAUAUUAGUUAACAUCAAAGAGUUUUAUGUAGUAGCUUAGCUUCAAUAUUUAAUGCAAAAUUCCUCUUUAACUAUUUCACAAAACAGAACCAACCAGUGGGUGCACCAAAUCCUCUAUGGUUUUGGUGCACUUUGUUCACCCAAAAAAGUGUAAAGAUUCCUAACUUAGUGCGUGUCUGUGUGUUUUCUGAACCCUUAAAUCCAACCCAAUAUAAAUGCAAGCCCCCAAUCACUUCUCAUCCAACACAAAAUAGUACACACAUACACAAUGGCUCUUUUAAAUGUUAUUACCUCCAUGCAACAAUGCAAUAUUCACUGUUUUGCCAUUUUUGUUGCAAUGAUUCUCUCUCUCUCUUUUGCUUCUGCUGAGACUCAUUACCAUCAAUUUGUUGUAUGUCUCUCUCCAAAAUCAUAUGAUCACACACACACACACACACACACACACACACACACACACACACACACAUAUAUAUAUAUAUUCAUGUGAUCUUAUCCAUUUUGAUCAUUAAUGUUUUUUUUGUGUGUGUCUGAAAUGUAAUUAAAUCAGGUUGAGGCAGCACCAGUGAAGAGGCUGUGCAAAACCCGCAACAUAAUCACGGUCAACGGGCAGUUUCCGGGUCCCACUUUGGAGGCGCGCGACGGCGACUCUUUCGUUAUCAACGUCGUUAACGCCGCACGCUACAACGUCACUCUCCACUGGUAACUUUUUCCUUCAAUCCAAAUUUUAAAAAAAAAAUCUAAACUAUUUGUCAUUUUUCCGCACAUUUUUUCAUCGAUUCGAAAUAUCCGACAGGCACGGUAUUCGUCAGAUGAGAACACCGUGGGCCGAUGGACCGGAGUACGUGACUCAGUGUCCGAUUCAACCAGGAGCGAGUUACACAUACAGGUUCAAGAUUGAGAAUCAAGAAGGUACCCUUUGGUGGCAUGCUCAUAGCAAAUGGCUUAGAGCUACAGUUUACGGAGCACUCGUCAUCUACCCUAAAUUGGGUGUUCCGUACCCGUUUCCGAUGCCCGAAAGAGAGAUACCUAUACUCCUCGGUAACCGAAUUUAAAAAAAAAUAAAAUAAAAGAAAACCAACUACCAUUUUUUCAACAUAUAUAUUAUACUCUCCAUUAAAACUGAUUAAUCUUUUUCCUUCAAACAGGGGAAUGGUGGGAUAGAGAUAUCAUUAGCGUGUUACGACAGUCGAAAUUUACGGGCGCUGCUCCAAAUGUAUCCGAUGCAUACACCAUCAAUGGCCAACCUGGAGAUCUCUACAGAUGCUCAAAGAAAGGUAGUUUGUUUUAGGCCUCGUUUGGUUUCUAAGUUAACAUUAGUCAAGAUAAGUAAUCUUACGAAAUCCCGGCCAAUUGUAUUAUUGGAUCCGGGGAGGUCCAAUAGAUAAUCUUCCCAAUUAGCUUUAUUCUUUUCAUAUUUGCAGCCCAACCCGCAAAAUUAUUAGAUCAACCAAGCAUCAAUAAAAUUCAAUUAUUUAAUUAAUCAUGACUUAUCUCAUCAGCCAAACGAGUCCUUAGCAUGUGUAAAUAAAUACAUACAUUAGUCAUCCUUUGUUUGAACAUUAGUAAAAUGAUAUAAAACUCUUUUUUUUUGGUGGCUUAGAAACAACAAAAUUCAACGUAAGAUCGGGGGAGACGGUUCUUCUUCGGAUCAUCAACGCCGCACUCGAUCAAGAACUCUUCUUCACAGUUGCCAACCACAUGCUAACCGUGGUUGGGAACGACGCCGCUUACAACAAGCCGUUCCAAACCAUGGUUAUCAUGCUCGGGCCCGGACAAACCACCAACGUCCUUCUCACGGCCAACCAACCCGCGGGCCGUUAUUACAUAGCCGCACGCGCCUACGCCACCGCUCAGAACGCACCGUUCGACAACACAACCGCCACCGCAAUCCUCGAGUACAACAACUUUCUCUCACAAAGACCCUUAAUGGCCACACUCCCUCGGUUCAACGACACCGCUACGGCAACCGCAUACACAAGCCAAGUAAGGAGCCUAUCUUCAGGUAAAGUUUUCACCCGAAUCGACGAGAACUUAUUCUUCACCGUCGGAUUAGGCCUCGUGAACUGCCAACCCGGGCCUAGAUGCCAAGGCCCGAACAACACGCGGUUCGCAGCCAGCAUGAACAACGUGUCAUUUGUUUUCCCAAGAAGGACAUCACUACUACAAGCCUACUACCAAAACAUAGGUGGGGUCUACACGACGGACUUCCCGCGGGUCCCGCCAGUUGCAUUCGACUAUACGGGCAACGUGAGCCGCGGGCUGUGGCAGCCCCGUUUCGGGACGAAACUAUACAAGCUGAGGUUCGGCUCGAACGUGCAGAUUGUUUUGCAGGACACUGCUAUUGUCUCGACCGAGGACCAUCCGAUGCAUCUUCAUGGAUACCAUUUCUUUGUUGUGGGCCAGGGCUUCGGCAAUUUCAACCCGAGAAGAGAUACAGCGAGAUUCAACCUCGUCGAUCCUCCCCUGAGGAACACCAUCAAUGUACCCGUUGGUGGAUGGGCCGUUAUUCGAUUUGUGGCAGAUAAUCCAGGUUAGUGAAGCUGAAACAUAUAUAUUUACGAAUAAAUUGCAUUUAUUAAUAGGCCUUAUCAAUAUAUUUUUGUCGAAUUCAUUUCGGUUUUUUUUUUUUUUUUGUUUGCAGGAGUUUGGUUGAUGCAUUGUCACAUAGAUUCCCAUCUAACUUGGGGCUUAGGUAUGGCAUUCUUGGUCGAGAACGGAAUCGGAGAAUUGCAGUCCGUCGCGGCUCCUCCACCCGAUCUCCCUCCUUGUUAGAAUUUUUUUUUCUUUUCGAUUUAUCAAGUAAUUAUUGUAUUUAUUACUGUUUUCUCCAUUCAUUUCAUUGACAAAAACAAGUCAAUAGUUUGUUCAUGUUGUAUUGUUCUUUUCCUACUUCCAUUACCAAUGUAUCCGAAGGUCUAGAAUCGGCCGACAAAGGUCUUUAACGAGGCCACCCUGUAUUCGAUUUUUAUUAAUGGAAUAGAAGUCGUAUUCUGGCAAAAAAAAAAAUAUUGAUCUAGAAUCGAACUAACGGGAGAUUCUUGAAACGAUUUUUACGGUUUCUCUGAACAAAAAGAGCAGAAUUGUACAUACAAUAAAGUAAUUUAAUGUGUGUGUGUGUAGCUCUAAAAUGUGCACAAAAACCUGCAUUAGACUUCUUUUUACAUGCAUACGUAACCCUACUUUGUACAAAACGAAAAACUUCUAACCGGAUUAUGCGAAGCCUUCUCUUGCCCUCUCAAGAUUUGCUGCUGCACAACCAAAACCGAAGCCCUACUCCCGAAAUCCAACGAGGCAACAUACUCCCCUAUAAUUCCUAACUCGGCGUUCUCGCUCCAAUUCGACAGCCCUUUCAAAAGAACCGGAUUUAUCCCGUACUUUCUCCCCACGAUCCAAAGAUCGUACGGCUCAUUCUUCAUCGCCUGAAUAGCAUCAAUCGUUUCCUCCCCAUUCUUCGACACCACCUCUCGAUAAACGACUCGUCUGUUCCCUUCAUUCUUCACCCAAAACCAAGUCACGAGAGCAUCGUCCAUCUUCUUCUCCACGUGAUUAUCCCCUUCGUCCUCGUGCGAGAGAAAUCUAAUCACCGUUAGUGAAAUCCGAGUGUUUCCCGCCAUUCGGUCCGCGUAAGAGAGCGCCUCCCUCGCGUCCGCACCGCCCAAGAAAAGGACGACAAAGUGGUGGUCCGUCGAACUUCUCAACACGCCGCCGAUUAGGUUUCGGCAAGGGGUCUUGUCCACUAGAAUCCCCACCGAGCAAGGCGCGUGCGAGAGCACGUUCGAACUCACGGACUGAAAGCGCUGCCUGUUCAUCGUCGUCGCUCUCAGGUUGUCCGCUAUUUUCUUGUGGAGCGGUAGAAUAAUCAGGCACGCCUGCUUCGUGAGCGCCAGCUCGCACACGUCUUGGUACAUGCUCCUCUUGGGCGAGAUCGCCGUGUACGAGUGUAUCUUGACGCACCCGUUUCUAGCAUCCUCGAAUAUCUUCAGCGCGUUGCGUAUGGAGCUCGACUUCGAUCCCUCGUCUCGUUUCUCGUCUUCUUGGUCGUGGUCGAUGAACACAGGAUUCGCGCGGCCGAGGAGCUCGACCAGGCACAGGGCGUGCACGGAGAGAGGGCUGCUCGACGUCGGAUUAAAGAGCUCGAGAAGUUUCAUGAGCCCGCUGAGAUUCUCUUCGCCGUGAAUGCCGGCCACUAUGUGGAGCUCGGUGUUGGGAGGCGUGUGCUGGAUGUUACGCCUCGUGUCCACCAUGUAGGGCCUCGUCGGGUCGUAGAUUAUGCUGAUUAAGGGUGACGCCACAGCGGUCACAGCCAGUGACAGUAGCACAAGAAUUGUGAACUCGGGCUGCAUUAUCAUCUGCAGAGAUCCACAAGACCGGUUCAUGAUCGUAACAAUAAUAUAGUUUAUUGCAUUUAGUACCCAUGUGCAAUACCAAAUUGCUAAAAACCCUCGAUACAUUUUUUUUCAGCAGACAAACCCCUGUAAAAUGGUGCAUGUAAAUUGCUAAUAAAAUUGAAAUUUUGCUAAUGUUUGUAAUACGAUGAGUUUUUUUAACAAUUAGAGUGAACACAAGGGGGUGCUAAAUGCAGUAAACUUCAUAGUAAUGUAUCGAACAAAUAACAAAGCUAAGAAAAACCUCAGCAAAAAAUCCAAUGUUAUUUUAUUGGCAAAAUCCUCUAUGAUUCAAUUUUUUAUAACUAAACUAACCCCUAAAAACUCACUUGUAUAAUAAGGGGGCUAUUUGCUAAUAUUUAUAACAUAGGGAGUUCUUUAGCAAUUCAAUGUAACACAAAGAGGGUACUAAAUGCAAUAAACUCUUUAAAAAACAUUUACCUUAAAAUCCAUCCAGUGCAUAAACAAGAGAAGUUCCACCUCACCCCUUAAACUCAUUAUCAAGCUGAGGGUGAGACUAUCUCGAAUCGUCAUGCCCAAGAAACGAGAAGUGAAGAGCGUCGACAGCAUUUUGACGGCGUAACCAACUAACACCAUGUAAAGAAGCGGUUCCAAAUGCGACCAAUGGCCGCUCAUGGAAGAAAGAUCGGUAAUCAUGCCGACAUACAUAAACGAAAAGGGCAUGAGAAUAUCCAUCACGAUCGUCUCGCUCUUCUCCACAAGAAUGGCCCCCAAUGGGGGGCCGUCCGGUACAGCCAAACCGAGCCACAAAGGCCCAUUGGCUACUGCCAGCCCAAGCAUAUCCGAGAAAAAUCCAACGACCAAAACGCCCCCCAGUAUUGCAACCACGUAGAUCUGAUCCACCGGCUUCCCUUUAGGGGUAUUUCGGACAAUCCACAUCAUGGCGUGCCUGAGUCCGACUAUGAUGAACACCAGCACGACUGCCAACGAAAUCAUGUACCACAAAGCUGCUAUUGCCCUGUGCUCCCCUUGCUUGGACGCCUCGAAUAUGACGACGCCGUUCAUUCCGAUCACGUCACUUAUUAUCGCUGUCGAUAGUGCCAUUUUCCCGAUUUCGGAGCUGAGUAGAUUCAGCUCCUUCACUAUGCGAUAAAGAACGGGGAACGCUGUGAUAGCUAGUGAAGAAGUUAUCCCGAGUAUCGAGGAAGCUUUCGACAUCUCUUUGCCCAGAGAUUUCCUCACGGCAAUCGCAACACCUACGCCGCAACAGAGCGGCACAACUAUACCGACUAUCGCAAUGUACCAAUUCUUUUUGUCGGCUUUUCUUAUCGUAGAUAUGUCCAUUUUCACCCCGGAUAUGAAGAGGAAAUACAUGAAUCCCAUCACUGNNNNNNNNNNNNNNNNNNNNNNNNNNNNNNNNNNNNNNNNNNNNNNNNNNNNNNNNNNNNNNNNNNNNNNNNNNNNNNNNNNNNNNNNNNNNNNNNNNNNNNNNNNNNNNNNNNNNNNNNNNNNNNNNNNNNNNNNNNNNNNNNNNNNNNNNNNNNNNNNNNNNNNNNNNNNNNNNNNNNNNNNNNNNNNNNNNNNNNNNNNNNNNNNNNNNNNNNNNNNNNNNNNNNNNNNNNNNNNNNNNNNNNNNNNNNNNNNNNNNNNNNNNNNNNNNNNNNNNNNNNNNNNNNNNNNNNNNNNNNNNNNNNNNNNNNNNNNNNNNNNNNNNNNNNNNNNNNNNNNNNNNNNNNNNNNNNNNNNNNNNNNNNNNNNNNNNNNNNNNNNNNNNNNNNNNNNNNNNNNNNNNNNNNNNNNNNNNNNNNNNNNNNNNNNNNNNNNNNNNNNNNNNNNNNNNNNNNNNNNNNNNNNNNNNNNNNNNNNNNNNNNNNNNNNNNNNNNNNNNNNNNNNNNNNNNNNNNNNNNNNNNNNNNNNNNNNNNNNNNNNNNNNNNNNNNNNNNNNNNNNNNNNNNNNNNNNNNNNNNNNNNNNNNNNNNNNNNNNNNNNNNNNNNNNNNNNNNNNNNNNNNNNNNNNNNNNNNNNNNNNNNNNNNNNNNNNNNNNNNNNNNNNNNNNNNNNNNNNNNNNNNNNNNNNNNNNNNNNNNNNNNNNNNNNNNNNNNNNNNNNNNNNNNNNNNNNNNNNNNNNNNNNNNNNNNNNNNNNNNNNNNNNNNNNNNNNNNNNNNNNNNNNNNNNNNNNNNNNNNNNNNNNNNNNNNNNNNNNNNNNNNNNNNNNNNNNNNNNNNNNNNNNNNNNNNNNNNNNNNNNNNNNNNNNNNNNNNNNNNNNNNNNNNNNNNNNNNNNNNNNNNNNNNNNNNNNNNNNNNNNNNNNNNNNNNNNNNNNNNNNNNNNNNNNNNNNNNNNNNNNNNNNNNNNNNNNNNNNNNNNNNNNNNNNNNNNNNNNNNNNNNNNNNNNNNNNNNNNNNNNNNNNNNNNNNNNNNNNNNNNNNNNNNNNNNNNNNNNNNNNNNNNNNNNNNNNNNNNNNNNNNNNNNNNNNNNNNNNNNNNNNNNNNNNNNNNNNNNNNNNNNNNNNNNNNNNNNNNNNNNNNNNNNNNNNNNNNNNNNNNNNNNNNNNNNNNNNNNNNNNNNNNNNNNNNNNNNNNNNNNNNNNNNNNNNNNNNNNNNNNNNNNNNNNNNNNNNNNNNNNNNNNNNNNNNNNNNNNNNNNNNNNNNNNNNNNNNNNNNNNNNNNNNNNNNNNNNNNNNNNNNNNNNNNNNNNNNNNNNNNNNNNNNNNNNNNNNNNNNNNNNNNNNNNNNNNNNNNNNNNNNNNNNNNNNNNNNNNNNNNNNNNNNNNNNNNNNNNNNNNNNNNNNNNNNNNNNNNNNNNNNNNNNNNNNNNNNNNNNNNNNNNNNNNNNNNNNNNNNNNNNNNNNNNNNNNNNNNNNNNNNNNNNNNNNNNNNNNNNNNNNNNNNNNNNNNNNNNNNNNNNNNNNNNNNNNNNNNNNNNNNNNNNNNNNNNNNNNNNNNNNNNNNNNNNNNNNNNNNNNNNNNNNNNNNNNNNNNNNNNNNNNNNNNNNNNNNNNNNNNNNNNNNNNNNNNNNNNNNNNNNNNNNNNNNNNNNNNNNNNNNNNNNNNNNNNNNNNNNNNNNNNNNNNNNNNNNNNNNNNNNNNNNNNNNNNNNNNNNNNNNNNNNNNNNNNNNNNNNNNNNNNNNNNNNNNNNNNNNNNNNNNNNNNNNNNNNNNNNNNNNNNNNNNNNNNNNNNNNNNNNNNNNNNNNNNNNNNNNNNNNNNNNNNNNNNNNNNNNNNNNNNNNNNNNNNNNNNNNNNNNNNNNNNNNNNNNNNNNNNNNNNNNNNNNNNNNNNNNNNNNNNNNNNNNNNNNNNNNNNNNNNNNNNNNNNNNNNNNNNNNNNNNNNNNNNNNNNNNNNNNNNNNNNNNNNNNNNNNNNNNNNNNNNNNNNNNNNNNNNNNNNNNNNNNNNNNNNNNNNNNNNNNNNNNNNNNNNNNNNNNNNNNNNNNNNNNNNNNNNNNNNNNNNNNNNNNNNNNNNNNNNNNNNNNNNNNNNNNNNNNNNNNNNNNNNNNNNNNNNNNNNNNNNNNNNNNNNNNNNNNNNNNNNNNNNNNNNNNNNNNNNNNNNNNNNNNNNNNNNNNNNNNNNNNNNNNNNNNNNNNNNNNNNNNNNNNNNNNNNNNNNNNNNNNNNNNNNNNNNNNNNNNNNNNNNNNNNNNNNNNNNNNNNNNNNNNNNNNNNNNNNNNNNNNNNNNNNNNNNNNNNNNNNNNNNNNNNNNNNNNNNNNNNNNNNNNNNNNNNNNNNNNNNNNNNNNNNNNNNNNNNNNNNNNNNNNNNNNNNNNNNNNNNNNNNNNNNNNNNNNNNNNNNNNNNNNNNNNNNNNNNNNNNNNNNNNNNNNNNNNNNNNNNNNNNNNNNNNNNNNNNNNNNNNNNNNNNNNNNNNNNNNNNNNNNNNNNNNNNNNNNNNNNNNNNNNNNNNNNNNNNNNNNNNNNNNNNNNNNNNNNNNNNNNNNNNNNNNNNNNNNNNNNNNNNNNNNNNNNNNNNNNNNNNNNNNNNNNNNNNNNNNNNNNNNNNNNNNNNNNNNNNNNNNNNNNNNNNNNNNNNNNNNNNNNNNNNNNNNNNNNNNNNNNNNNNNNNNNNNNNNNNNNNNNNNNNNNNNNNNNNNNNNNNNNNNNNNNNNNNNNNNNNNNNNNNNNNNNNNNNNNNNNNNNNNNNNNNNNNNNNNNNNNNNNNNNNNNNNNNNNNNNNNNNNNNNNNNNNNNNNNNNNNNNNNNNNNNNNNNNNNNNNNNNNNNNNNNNNNNNNNNNNNNNNNNNNNNNNNNNNNNNNNNNNNNNNNNNNNNNNNNNNNNNNNNNNNNNNNNNNNNNNNNNNNNNNNNNNNNNNNNNNNNNNNNNNNUAAACCGAAUGACACGAGAAAAUAACGAUGAGGAACGAAAGCUCCCAACAGGACAAGGGGGAAAAGAGAAAUCUAAUGGAUUUUAGCCGUAGAAAUGCGGUAGGAAUGAUCGUUGUGUAUCUUCCUAAAUAUAAUAUAAUCGAGUUCAUCACCAUUGCUGGUAAGAAUUGAUGAAGAUUGUUCGUUAAUCGAAGAAAGAGUGAAGGAAAAAAAAGAAAAAAAAUGAGUGCAGAAGAUGGGAGCCAUGAUUGAUUAACGGAUGUUGCAAGAAACUAACACAGAGAGGUGCGAAAAGUGUUUGGUUGGACAAGCGGAAAUAUAGUUGUCUCACUUUUUUAGAGUUAGUUAAUGUGGUUACUGGUUACUGUAUAUAUAAUGGGGAUAAUUACACUUUUGGUCCCUCAUGUUUGGUCCGAUUUCACUUUUGGUCCCCCUUGUUCUAAAGUGAACCAAGUUCACCUCCAAGUUUCAAUUUUAAACAUUUUUGGUCCCUGCCGUUACAUGUCCGUUAGCAAGUAACGGAAAACACUAUUUUGGGGGUGAAAAUUGAAAUUUUAAUUUUUUUUGGGGCUGAAAAAUAAUUAUAAAUUUACAAUAGACUACCUAUAAGUUUUAAUAAUAAAAAAAAAAGAAAUUAACGAAACAAAGUAUUUUUUAUGAUACCUAAUAUUAUUAUAAUUAUACUACUUAUAAUUAAAUUUUUAAUAAUAAAAAAAUUAACUAAACAACUUAUUUUUAGUCAUACUUAAUAUUAUUUUUAAUUAUACUACUUAUGAUAAAAAAAAUUAAUACAAAAAAAAAAAAAAACAAAUUAGCUAAACAAAUUAUUUUUAAUUAUACUUAAUAUUAUUACAGUUAUACAACUUAUAUUAAUUUUUAAGAAUAAAAAAAUAAAUUAACCUAAACAAGUUAUUUUUAAUUAUACUUAAUAUUAUUUUUAAUUAUACUACUUAUAAUAAAAAAAUAAUAAAAAAAGAAAUUAGCUAAACAAAUUGUUUAUAAUUAUACUUAAUAUUAUUAUAAUUAUACUACUUAUAAUUAGAUUUUUAAUAAUAAAAAAAGAAAUGAAUUAAAUAUAUUAAUAUGUAUUAUACUUAAUAUUAGUUUUAAUUAUACUAAUUAUGAUUAUUUUUUUAAUAAUAAAAAAAAAUAACUAAAUAAAUUUCAUUAUGCUCAAUAUUAUUAAAGAUUUAAUUAUAAAUAGUCUAUUUUAAAUUUCUAAUUAUUUUCCAGCCCCAAAACAAUUUAAAAUUUUAAUUUUGGCCCCAAAAUAGUGUUUUCCGUUACUUGCUAACGGAUAUGUAACGGCGGGGACCAAAAGUAUUUAAAAUUGAAACUUGGAGGUGAACUUUGUUCACUUUGGAACUAGGGGGACCAAAAGUGAAAUUGGACUAAACAUGAGGGACCAAAAGUGUAAUUAUCCCAUAUAUAAUCAGUUUAAUUUUUUUUUUAUUUUUUUUAUUUUUUUUAUGUUUUUUUUUAAAUGCAGAAAUGAUCAAUUAAAUUGUUUUGUAUAUUUGUUCAAAUAAAAAUAAAUUUAUUAAUAAUUUGUUUUGUACUUUGUAUGUCAAAAAUUGGUAAUUAGUAUAAAGCCAAAUUACGGCCACCCCCAAAGGUAUGGCCAAAUUAUGAAGAAAAACCCUCUUGUUUGGGUAAUUACAACCCCCCUCUUUUAAAUAUUUUUACAAAAAAAAAUAUGUAAUUCGGUUAUUUAUCGAACCAAAUCGUAUAUUUAGUUUGGUUAACGGUAUGAAAUGUUAUAGUACCAAAAUUUUGGUUCGGUUUCACCAAAUUAACAUCCCUAAAUUUACCUCUGGAGGAGUCUUUUCGUAAGAUAAUACAUAGUUGAGGGGGGUGGCUGCAAUUACCCAAACAGAAGGAGGGUUUUUGUAAUUUGACAAUAACUCAGGGGGUGGCCGUAAUUUGCCCAUAAAAUCAAUGGCUAAUCAUUUUCGAAACAAAAAUUAAAAUAAAAAUGAGUUUCCUUUCGAAACAUGAUGAUAUUAAAGUGUUUUAGAGAGGAAAAUGCGACGAAGAGGCUGAGAUAUCACGGCGUAAGGUGAACAAGACAAGACUGCAAUGUGCUAAAAUAAAAUGCCAUUUUUAUUAUUUUACAUGCGAAAGAGCAAAAUUAUUUUCCUAAUACUAUUAAUUUUCUUAUUUUGUUUCUUUAAGAGAUGUCUAUGUAAUGAUUUCAAAAUAGGAGGGGUAUCUAUUUAUUAAGAUCUAACCUUGGGGAUGACAAUGUAAUUUACUUACUAUUUGCUAAGAGGUAAAAUUUAAAUUUCAAAAAAUUCAAUGGUCAAAUGAAUUAAUUGUUAACUAAUAUCAACCUCAAUAGAGGUACGCGUAACUUUUUAAUUUUCAAAUUAGAUGAGGUCUAGCUGUAAUUGCACCUAAUGUCAGGAGAGAAUAUGCAAUUUUACCCUUAUAGAUAUCCCUAAUUUGCAAAAUUAAAUAACCAAUAAAAUAUGCAUCAUCUAACAAUUUCUCCUUAUGUCAAUAUUAAGUUAAUAUCUUUUAGAUUCUAAGGUCUCGUUUGGUUACCAUCUUCUUGAUAAAAUUUUACAAUAUAUGAUUCAAAUCUUACGAUUCGAUUCGAUUUAUGUAUUCAUCGAUUCAAAUUUUAUAAUAAGAUCUUAAAUGCCACAAAACCAUAAUUGAAUUUGUUAAAUUUGGCAAUAUUAUGACUCGAUUUUUAUGCUUAGGAUUUUUGAGAUUUAAGAAAAUUUAUUAUAUUUUGAGAAAAAAAAAUGAUUAGAAAGAAAAUUAUUAGAGUAAGUUAAGUAUGAUAGAUCAACAUGAUAUUUAUUCACACUACGGUUAAUCAAAAUACAUUUCGAAUUUCUCGUUAACACUUUAUGUUGGAUUUUCGGGCGAAUUGCAUUUAGGCCCAUAGGUUCAGACUUAAUUGCACAUAUAUCCGGACCAAAAAAAAGUCUAUACUCUUGUAGUUUUUCAAAAUACUCCUCAAAAUAUAAUUUACAUCAAUUUCAUCCAUAAAACCAUAACUUAAGUAAUACUGCAAUUGACCCUCGAUUUUAACAAAUAUGUCACAUUUUCACAAUUUUUUGAAUUUGUUUUUUUAUGAAUUCAUUUUUUUCCAAACACUGACUACCAUUGAUUUUUUUUUUUUGAUUUUUUUUUCCGAUUGUGGACCACCGGUCUCUGGCGUUGUCCUUUUUUUUCCUUGAACCUUUUUUCUCGUCGUUGACAGGCGGUGGUCAAAACCGCCCUAACUUUAUCUUCUUCUUCUUCUUCUUCUUUUUUUUUUUUUUUUUUUUUUUUUGAUUUCUUUCCUAUCUUGAAUUGGUAGCACAGUAAGAUAGAUUACUGUGAACAUAAUCUCUCGUAAUAAGCUACAACAACGUUAAUUCUCGAAAGAAUUCGCGUAACAAAGCCGUUGAGGAAUUCAGUUCAUAUGAGAUGCAGCGCGAUGUCUCUGAUUGCGGCAAUUUAAAAGUUCUUCAAUGGAAAAGCCGCUAAGGAAUUCAAGCAAAUAUUUUUCCCAAAAAAUUGGUAGGUUGGAUUUUAAAGGAAAAAAAUUUAAAGGAAAUUUUAAAUCCAGUAACCGGUAACCAUCCCCAGGAGAAUCAUUUCCUUCCCGGGAAAGCUUCUUUUUCGGAGUAGAACCAGCAUACAUUUCCUCCAAGCUACAUAGGAGGGGGUUUUCCCCAAGGGUCCCCUUCCGGGAUCUUUUUUGGCCGCCGCCGCCGCCCCCAGAAAAUUUUUUAGUUCCCCCCCCGUUCAUGGUCAGGCCCCGAAAAUCCCCUUUUUUUAGGGCCCCAUUAUGGCGGUUCCUACCAGUUUUCCCAGGGGGGUUCCGGUUAUUGCUCCCCCAAAAAAUCUGGGCAAAAAUUUGGUGGCCAUUCCUGGGAUGGAUUGGAAAAUUAGGUUUCGGAUGCUGCGGGGGGUUGUUUUAGUAAAAACUCUAUUUCUGGCCCCAAAAUUUCCGCCGGGGGGGGGGGGGGGGGGGGAAUUGGCCCGAUUUGAGGCCCUCUUAGCCGUAGAGAUCGUAGAUCUGGCGCUUCUGAUACAUCGCAGGCUUUGGAAAUCUGCUUGAAUUUGGCCUCGGACUCCUCCUAGUUGGCGUUUUUGUCGGGAUGCCAAAUCAUGGCGAGGCGGCGGUAGGCUUUCUUCAAGUCUUCGUCGCUGGCGUUGCGGUUCGCUGUCAGGAUGUUGUAGUAAUCAUUCCCCAUAUUUGGGUUCCAAUUUGAGGGGGGAAUUGGUCCGAUUUGAGGCCCUCUUCGCCGUAGAGAUCGUAGAUCAGGCGCUUCCGAGGGUCGCUGAGUACAUCGUAGGCUUCGGAAAUCUGCUUGAAUUUGACCUCGGCCUCCUACUUGUUGGCGUUUUUGUCGGGAUGCCAAAUCAUGGCGAGGCGGCGGUAGGCUUUCUUCAAGUCUUCGUCGCUGGCGUUGCGGUUCACUUUCAGGAUGUUGUAGUACUCAAUCCCCAUAUCUGGGUUCCGAUUCCGAUUGUUGAAAUUGGGGCUUUUUUUUCUUUUUUUUUGUAAUUCCUGUUACGGGAAGUGAUUGAUUGCAGAUGUGAGAGAAGGAGGGCGGUGGUGGUGGGCGGGGUCCGAUUUGAGGCCCUCUUCGCCGUAGAGAUCAUAGAUCUGGCGCUUCUGAGGGCCGCUGAGUACAUCGUAGGCUUCGGAAAUCUGCUUGAAUUCGGUCUCGGCCUCUUGCUUGUUGGCGUUUUUGUCAGGAUGCCAAAUCAUGGCGAGGCGGCGGUAGGCUUUCUUCAAGUCUUCGUCGCUGGCGUUGCGGUUCACUGUCAGGAUGUUGUAGUAAUCAAUCCCUAUAUCUGGGUUCCGAUUUGAGGGGGGAAUUGGCCCGAUUUGAGGCCCUCUUCGCCCGAUUUGAGGCCAUCUUCGCCGUAGAGAUCGUAGAUCUGGCGCUUCUGAGGGUCGCUGAGUACAUCGUAGGCUUCGGAAAUCUGCUUGAAUUUGGCCUGGGCCUCCUGCUUGUUGGCGUUUUUGUCGGGAUGCCAAAUCAUGGCGAGGCGCCGGUAGGCUUUCUUCAAGUCUUCGUCGCUGGCGUUGCGGUUCACUUUCAGGAUGUUGUAGUACUCAAUCCCCAUAUCUGGGUUCCGAUUCCGAUUGUCGAAAUUAGGGCUCUUUUUCUCAUAAUUCCUGUUACGGGAAGUGAUUGAUUGCAGAGAGGAGGGCGGUGGUGGUGGGCGGGGACCGAUUUGAGGCCCUCUUCACCGUAGAGAUCAUAGAUCUGGCGCUUCUGAGGGCCGCUGAGUACAUCAUAGGCUUCGGAAAUCUGCUUGAAUUUGGCCUCGGCCUCUUGCUUGUUGGCGUUUUUGUCAGGAUGCCAAAUCAUGGCGAGGCGGCGGUAGGCUUUCUUCAAGUCUUCGUCGCUGGCAUUGCGGUUCACUUUCAGGAUGUUGUAGUAAUCAAUCCCCAUAUCUAGGUUCCGAUUCCGAUUGUUGAAAUUGGGGCUCUUUUUUUUUUUAAUUCCUGUUACGGGAAGUGAUUGAUUGCAGAUGUGAGAGGAGGAGGGCGGUGGUGGUGGGCGGGGCUGCGGUGGUUGAAAUUUAGAGUAGUAGAGAAAUUGGGUUUGAACAAGGAAGGUGGUGACGAGGUAUGUGACUGGGAAGGAGGAAGAAGGUGGGGUUAUUUUUUUAAUUUUGUUCAUAUGAGUUUUUACCUGGAAAAAAACUAGGGCACGGAUGCAAGAAAGGGGAAGAUGAAGAUUGUAGUAUUUAUAACGAUUAAUUUUGUAAUUGAGGUAUUUUCGAAGGAUAUUUUCGACGUUACACAUGGGUUACAAAAGGGGAUUCAAUAUGUGACAACUAGUCAAGCCAUCUUUGGCCUGACUAAUAAUAAUUCGAAUGGGGUAUUAAAUGGGUGGGCCCAACAGUCAAGGAUGGUUAACUCAAGCAAACCAAACGUUGUACAAAACGGUAGAACCCAUCCCAUCCCUUGUAAUACCCCAACCAAAGAGGCCCUCAAGGUAUAAGGGAAAAAUUGACUGGUAUUCCUAGUACACCUUAUUUUUACAACACCAUUUAAAAUACGCAUAUAUUAUUUCCCCACAAUUUCGACUUACUUGACCGUCGGAGUGCUUAUAUUGUCGGGAAAUCUUUCCACGACACACCUUUUUUGCAGGUCUCUUGGGAGUACGUGGGUUUUUUCUUUGGUCCUUCCUAUUUCGAGGCUUGUCCCAUUCAUUUAUCUUGGGUUAUCGAUAUAGGCCAGAUCACAAAGCGAAUUUACACAAUUAAAUAAAUGAGGACUUUGUGAUACGGGUGUGCACGGAUCGGUACGGUUCGAUUUUUCCAAUAAACCAAAUACGUACCGAUAAUAUCGUUCUUUCAUAUUUUAAGAACCGAAUAUGUCGGUUUUUUUCGGUUCGAUGUUAAUUGGUUUUUCGAUUUUUGGUUUAUGGUUUCCGUAUCAAUACGGUUUAUUUUGAAUUUCGAUUUCGUCUAUUUGUUCGAAACGGUUCGGCAUAAAAUCGAUAUAUUUGAACUUUCAUUAUAUUUAUUUUGAGAAAACUAAUAAAUAAUAAUCGAAAAUUAACUAAUAAAAAAUACGUGACAACCAAAAAUUAAUUAAUAGAAAAACAUGUCACAUGGAGGCGCUCGAAAGAAGAGGCAUGCUAGGGUAAGUAUUUAUACUAUAUAUCAAAAAGACUUCAUUUUGUAUAAAUAGAUUCGGUUCGGUAAAUCAGUUCUGUAAUUUUUUUAUUCCCCAUACACAAACCGAUAUUUUCGGUUUUAAAUUCUUUUUUUACCGUAUAUGCGGUUUUAAGUCAUAACGGUACAUAUCGACUCGAUUUUUUCGAUUUUCGAGUUCUCAAUUUUUCUGCUCACCCCAACUCUUAGAUGUUUGCCCAAUAAAAAAAUGAUUAUUAAUUUAAGCUAAACUUUUUUCAUUGUUCCCUUUGGUUUAACUUCAUUAUUACCAAAACAUGUUUUCCAAACUAAUUGAAUGAAUGCGUUUCCAGUAAAAUUUUUAUAACUUAAUACUCGAUAAAUUAAUAAUUUUGCUUAAAUAAUAUAUUUUUGCGAGACUAGGUGAAAACGUAUUAAAUUAUUAGUUCAUCAAUCCAAUAAUUCCCUAAAAUAAUAAAAUUUUACUAAUUCCAACUAUUUAAUUUAUGGAGAUUUAACUGUAUAUACUUACGCAAUCCCAUAAAAAAUGAAGUUUAUAGAGAGGCAAAGAAGUAUAGUUAAAUUUGAUGAUGGUGCUUGUCUCUGUGCAACCACAUUGUGCACUACUAACAUAUAAUCAUAACAUAGUGUCAUUACAGUAACACAAGAUUUGGGUGUCUUGUGAAACAGUUAACUUUGUUUCUUUGUUUGCAUACAAUUAGGCACAUUGUGUACCCUAAAGCAACAUCAUAUUCUGUAAAAUUAUGAUCCAACAAAUUAUGAUGUUACACGUAAAUCCCAUUAGUUUCCAAAUCCAUAUUUAUGCUAUAAAGUUGAGAUGUAAAUUUUUCGAAAGGCCAAAUUACGAAAAUCUCCCUGAUGUAAGGUCUAUAUUUUGACGAAUAAAAAUCAGAGAAAUUUUUGUAAUUAGACUUUGCCCUAGGGGGUUUCUUGUAAUUUAACUUUUUUUUUAUAUGAUACGAUACGACCCUUUCGAACACCCUUUUCCGCGGUGGUAUCUUUGAAAUUUUAUUUAAUUAUUUCUUUUGUGCCAUUUCUUUGAAUUUAUGCUGCUAAAAAAAUUAAUAAUUAAAUAGACUUUUUUUUACAUAAUAAUAAAACCAUAAGUAAUUUUAUUUUAUGUGCACUACUUAAAAUAAAACAAAAACAGUAAGGAAAUAAUUUGAAGAAGUAAAAAAACAAUACUACAAUUUUGGUAUGCUCUACUUGGAGAGUCAUUUAUCAAAUCUCUAAUUUUGGAGAGUCGUAAAUAGGGGUACAAAAACCGAACUUAGUAAGCUCAAGUUUGAGCUCAAACCAAAUUUAUUUAGCUCAAACUCGAAAAUAAUUUCUUUAGUUCGAGAUGAAACUAAUUUUUUUAUACUCCCUCCAUUCCAUGAUAUUUGUAACUUUAAAGAAAUUUUAUUGUUCCAUAUUAUUUGUCAUUUUACAAUUUCAAUAUUGUAAUAAUUACAUAUUUUAUAGGGGUAUGUACUUAUUAACUCUUGAACAUUAUCCAUGUCUUAAUUAAUAAAUAAGGGUAUUUUGGUCUAACAAUAUAUUUUUUUUUCAUAAAUUCAAGAUUCAUUUAUUAACAUUCUUAAGACUUAUGCAAAGGUGAAAAAAGACUGUUAAUUAAGAACGAAGAAAGUAUAUAUUAAAAAAAAAAAUUAUAACAAAACUUACAAAAUAAAAAAUGAACUGAAAUUUAAUUUUUCUACGUAUUCUUUUCACGGUAAAUUCCACUUUUUCUCUUUGUAUUUUUUCUCGAAUUACUUUAUCUCUACUACUCUUGAUUUUAUCGAUUUACCUCCAUGUACUUGAAAAAUGUCUCAAUGUGGCUCUCGCGGUUAGUUUUCAGACCUCUGACCUUAGCACCAUUGAUCUAAGUCUGAAAAAUACAAAAAAAAUACCCCCCAGUUUAAAUAAUUAUUAAUAAACUUAAUAAAAAAAAAAUUGUUGCUGGCGUCGUGGACUAUGUUUUCUCGUUGUCUUGAAUUUUUUAUUAUUAUUUUUUCAUUUGUUUUUGUAUAAUAGUUUAAACUAGGAGAGGUGACGUUUUUGUAAUUUCAAAUCUUCGAUCAAAUGGUGGUGUUAAGGUUAAAUAUCUGACAACUAAUAGCAAGGGCCAUAUCGAGAUAAUUUUUCUAGUGCAGGAAGGCAAUUCGAUACAAUCGAAAUUAGAAGGGGGUAAAGUGAUAUCGAGUCAAAGUACAAGUAGCAAAUUUUACCAUUCUUUUUAUAUAAUAAAAAAACUAGCGGGGAAUCGGUUCACAAGCUUAUGGAACAAUUAAAAUGGAUUCAGUAUCGAACUUGUUAGAAAGCUCGAGCUCGUAACCACAUACUAAAAUAAAUAAAAAAUAAAAAAUAAAGUAAAUUGGAAAAAAGGAGUCAACAUCGAGUGCUGUAGAAAUUCAUGGGUCAUAAUUAAAAAGCCUGCAGAAAAAUUUAAGUCGAUCGAAAGCAAUUAAUAUAAUAAAAAUUAAAAAACAUAGCCCAUAACUACUAUUAAAGGCCUUCUGUUGCAGACUACACCAAUAAUAAUAGCUACCCUCCCCCACCAUCAAACAAAUGCCUUACCUGCAACUCCUUUUAUUGCCUCUUUUAUUCCCUCACAUUUCUGAGUUUUUAUUAACCACAUUAUUUUUUUUCUAAAAAUACAUUUUUAUUCAGAAAAAUAUAAUUAAUUUAUUUAUAUAUAUGUAAGUAUACGUACACUUCUACACCCCACCACAUGUUACCAACUCAUGAACAUGAAUAUCUAGGAAUAAGAAUAAGAAUGAUUGUCCCGACCAAAUUUUACUUGAGGUAAAUGCAUAACUAUUUCUUUUACUCCCUUCGCCCUAAAAAUAUGCAUGGAUUAUAACCCAAAUUACGGCCACCUUUGAAGUAAGUUUAAAUUACGAAAAUCCCAUAUUUAUCUGGGUAAUUACAACCACUUUGCUCGGCUAUGUAUUGUGUUACACAUUCUCUUACAGUUUUAAAUUUAUCUACUGAAUGAAUGGGCGAUUUCGUAAGACAAUACCUAGCUAAGGCGAGUGAUUGUAAUUAUCCAAACAUAAUGAAUUUUUUCGUAAUUUGAUUAUAUCUCAGAGGAUGGCCGUAAUAUGCCUAGCAAAAAAUACAAAAAGUGGUUGAAUAUAUACUCUUAUCUUUAAUUAUAUAUCAUUGAUUUUUCUUUCAAAUAGUUAAGAGUGAACCAUAAUAAAAUUAAGAAAAUUGUAAUUAAUGUAUUCAUUGGAAUUUAAUAGUAAAGUGACAAUUCAAAACAAAAAAUAUUCUCUAAACCUAAACCGACAAAUACUUUAACACGUAGUGAGUAUUUAUUUUAAUUGCUAAAAAAGGUCCUCAUGUUAUUUUUUAUUAUCAUAAAAUCUCCUAUGUUUAUUGUAUAUUAGCUCCAUGCCCCAAACUUAUUUUAUAGGUUUUACUAAGUGAAAAUUGACUAGCAAUUAGCACAAGUAGAAAUUGUUAAAUUCCUACAUUUGUCUAAAUACUUUUACUGUCAUAAUUGUGAUGAUAAAAAUGUAUAUUUAUUACAGUCAAAAAAAUAUUCUUUAUUACUUUUUAAGUAUAUUCAUUUUUUAAAUUUUCGUAAAUUUUCUAGAAUGUUAAUUAUGUUUUGCAAAAUUCAUAUGAAUCUUUUGUAUUUGGUUUUUAUUUUAUAAAUAUUGUGUAAUUUUUCGUUUAUUUUAAAAAAUCAUAAAUUAUUCACUAAAUUUAUGCCUUUUUAGAAAGAAAAAAAGAAAACAUAUCUUCUUUGAUCUUUGAAGAAGUACAUGUAUCUUUAUAGAUUUCUACUAUUUAUGUUUUAAAAAGAAUUGCACUGUUAAAAAUUAUAUAUUUUGAUAUGAUUUUUAGAGUUUCAGUAGUAUCGUUUAUUUUUCAAAAAAUUAAAACAUGUUUUGUAUUUAUAUAUAUGUUUUAGAAAUAAACUUAAGAAAGUGCCGUAAUACCCUUCCCUAUAUUAUUUCACCAAUAAUUCUCUUUCUCGAGAGACUUCAAAUUCAUAGCUCUCAAGCGUUGGUAGUUGUGUUUUUGUUAAAAAUAAAAUAAAAUAAAGAGUAUUAAGGGUAAUUAAUUUGUGAAAAAUACAUUAAAUGCAUUUAAAUUUGACAAAUAAUUUGUAAUAAAAAAAUAUUGCUACAAUUAUAUUUGGCAGAGGAGAUGUGAGUCUGAAAUAGUAAUUAAUGAGAAGCACGCUAGAGAGAGAGAGAGAGAGAGAGAGAGAGAGAGAGAGAGAGAGAGAGCAUGAAUGAAAAUCAAGAAACAAAGAAAUAAAACUAAACAAGAAACAAAGAAAUUAGGAGAGAGAGAGAGAGAGAGAGAGAGAGAGAGAGAGAGAGAGAGAGAGAGAGAGAGAGAGAGAGAGAGAGAGAGAGAGAGAGAGAGAGAGAGAGAGAGAGAGAGAGAGAGAGAGAGAAUGAAUCAAAAAACACACACACUGAGGUAUAUACAGAAGAGAAUAUUGGAUUAGGAACCAAAGCAACAAGCAUAAUAUAUUAAAACCAUAAUUAACUCUUUAUAUAUAUAUUUGUUUGAACAUAAAAUAUAUGUUCUUGAUAGUUAAAAAAUCGUAGAAAAAAAAAAAACCUCGGUGGAUGGAUUGGGAGGUAGCAAGAAGGAACCAUGAAACUCAGGAUGGAUAGCUCCCACAUCUAUAUAUAUAUAAUUGCAUAGAAACGACGUGGUGCUAUCCCUCCUGAGCUUUACGGAUCAUUCUAUACUGUGAAUUUCAUAUUUGACCAACAUCAUUUAUAUAUGUAUAUAUGUAUGUAUAUUUGUUGACUGACCAUCUCUCUCUCUAGGAUUUUUAAUGGCUGUGUGAAGAAAUGAAAAGGUUGAGGAGUGUAUUUAUAGGAGGAAGACUGGACCGGACAGGGAAAGGCAUAAAAUGGACCAAUUAAAGACAUUUUUUGGUAUUUUAUCUUUAUAUAUACUUUAUUUUUUAAUAUAUAUAUAUAUAUAUAUAUAUAUAUAUAUAUAUAUAUAUAUAUAUAUAUAUAUAUAUAUAUAUAUAUAUUGUUUCUUGAAUUUUGUUUCUUGGGCAUACUAACAUGCACAUAUGUACUAUUUUCUUGGCAAAUGCUUAUUGAAUAAUGGACUUGGUCUAAUGCAUAUAUAAGAAAAACACAUCUUGUGAUUUCUCCACAAUUUUCAUGAUUAUGAUAAUUAGGCUAUCCUUUUUGGCUACAAAAAUUGGGAAUAUUUUUUUGGUGGUAUGAAUAGCUUCUUAAUUAAUUCCCAUAUGUCUUGUUACCAUGUUUGUUCUAUUCAUUAUAGUGUUGUCUUGUCCUGUAUUAUUGUGAUAUAAUUAUUUAGCGUACAUCAAGGGUUUGAAUGUAAUGUAUAUUUUAGCAUAGAUAAGGGGUUUGCUAUUAUCAGUGCGGUUUUUACCACUCGCAGUGUAAAAUAAUUUUUUUUUUCUUUUCCAAAUCUUAUCCAAAUCUCCCAUCAAAUAAUCUCAACCUUUAAUUCUUGAAAUUUUUCAAUUUGAGUAAUUUUUCGACCAAUAUCAGUUAGAGCACAAGUAUUAUCGACAUGGAUGACAACGGCUUCGAUUUUGAGGUGAAAAUACACGUUUUUUGUUCAUUUCCAACGUUUUUAGACAUUUCGUGUUAUAACGCACGAAAUAUAUGCUCUUAUUUCGUGUAAUACUAUACGAAAUAUGUCUUAAAAUCGUUUGUUGUUUGUUUCGUAGACAAGCAUACGAAAUUAAAGCUUACAUUUCGUAGUAAAACCUACGAAAUGGAAGCUUUUAUUUCGUGUGUUUUUACACGAAAUUGUAGUUUACAUUUCGUAUGUUUUUCUACGAAAUCCCUUAAAUAUUGUCUUUUAAUUUUAAAUAUUUAUGCAGGAACUAAGAGAACAAUCUCACGAUCAUAGUCACUUCUUUGAACGUGGUACUGUGUCAUUGUGUGUAUGGGGGCAAAAGACACAACAAUUAGUCAUAAUCAUCAACUGAUUAAUCAUUGUAAAUCAGAAAAAUAUCAUGUUUUAACGUGUGCAAGAUAUCAAUCUACCGGGAAAUGGACCAUCUAGCACAUCCGGAUUGACUCGAGUAUGAGCUCGACCACCACGACCUCCACGACCUCGUCCUCAGCCUCCACGAUCUCCACGACCUCCACGAGCUACAACCUCAGUCUCGUGAAUGAGGUCCACAGCAUCCUCCUCCUCCUCCUCCUCCUCCAUAGCACGAGAAGACUGUUGGGUGCUAAAUACCAACACGCAAGUGUACGUAUCGCAAACAAGUAGUAAAGUAGACUCGUGAGAGUCGGAUGUCGAUCCCACAGGGAAUACGCAAAUUAUUUACUCCUAAGUACCAAAUCCUAACAAUUAUGAUUUUUAUUCAGCCUACGCAGGGUUGUCAAAUUAAUUAACUAAAUAAAUUAAACUAAUUAAGAAAGCAAUUAAUCACGAUAAAAUAUCAAUAUAAAACGGAUCUAGGAUUUUAUCUUCCCCCUAUGCGAUAAUUCUUCACCCAACUAAUCUCCUAUUAUGCAAGUUACGAUUCCCGAUUAUUAACCCAAGACACGAAAUUAUUCAUAACCAGCUGUCGCUGCGCUAUAAACCUAUUAUUCAUAAAAGAUUCACUAUAUGUCUAUGCAAACCUAAUAUAAAUAAAGCAUUAAAUAACAAGUCUCGCAAACGGCUACCUAAGGUAUUAUCUGUAUGUCUACGAUAAUACAUGCAAUCAACACACGCAUUCGGUGAAAAACUACUCGAAGGCUCUUCUAUCCAUGUUCUAAUUAUUAAAACGAUCUGUCAAUCGAUUCUAACAAUAACAAAUAGCAACAUAAGUUAGCUACGCUCAUGCACUAAAUAAGAUCAAGAUAGAAGAAAUAAUCGAAAAAUUAAACUUGCAUAAAAGUCGAAUAAGAGGUUCGAAUCACCACAUAGGGUUCCAAUAAAAUCCUAGAAUAAAAACUUAGCUACUCAUGUUCGUAACGAAAAGCAUAAUAAAAAUACGGAAUUUCAUAAAAAUCAGAAAAGAAAAGGAAAAGGGAAACUAGGAUGAAGAUUCGUCAAGUCUUCGUCUUCGUUCUCUUGCUCCUCGAUUGCGUGUAGAAAAGAUAAAAACUCCAAAUAAAAAUAAAAGGUAAAAGAUCCAAGAUGGGUCUAAUUGUGUGCUUGUGGCCUUUAAAUAGGGUGCAAAAAUAUAAUAGGGCGGGUUUCCUUGUGUAAUUAAACUUCCUUCACUGCGCCCCUACGCCCAUCCGGACGGCCGUGUGAGAUUAAGAUCUAAAACCCGCACGACCGCGCGGCCUUCUGUUCUUCAGAAUUCUGAUUAUUUCACUUUUGGCCCACUUUUUCUCUGAAUUUGCAGUUUUCACCCCAAAAGUUGCCAAUUCUUCAAUUUGCACCUAAAAUACAAAUAAUAACCAUAUUAAGCACCAAUUAUCGUAAAAACACAUCAAAAGCUCCAAUUAAAAGGUACAAUUAAGUGUAUAAAUAUACACUUAACACACCCCCAAACUUGAACUUUUGCUUGUCCUCAAGUAAAAUCAAAUUAAUAGCACAAAACAAAACCAUACAUCUCAUUACAUAGAUCGAUGGGUCAACUUCGCGUUUUCAGAACUUGCAAUUAUGAUGAUAAUUCAUAGGUAUUCGCAAGCUUAACAUUCAACGGCACUUAGUCACUCACUAUUACCAAAAACCACAAAUCAUACAAUUGCUUCAAGUAUCCAAUAUUUGCAAGUUAAAGAUAGAAAGAAUUUAUACUUACGUGCAUAUAUUUGACUCCAAAUACUCACCAAAUUAUUUUACUCAACUAAUAUUGAACAAUAAGCUAUUGGGAUCAUUGGGACUUUGUGGCUUUCAAUUGUUAGGCUCUUUGGUCCGAGGUAGGUAAUAUGGGAAUGUGUGGCUAAUUUUCUUGAAUUGAGGUGAUUACGCCAAAAAUUGAAAGAUAGGCGUUUGAAACAAUGAAUUCACCUCUAGGGACUUAAAUAAACUCGAUUCUCCAAAAUUCACACGUCAACACUUUUGCCUUUUAGGCAAUGGAUCGAAUUUUCAACACAAUUCAACAACUAGUCCUUAUUUCUCCCUUCUAAUCUAUUCGUCUUCUUCUUUUUCUUUUUUUUUUUUUUUUUUUUUUUCAAUUCGAGGAAUUUAGAUAUAUAUAUAAAGAUGCACAUAUAUAUCUAUUUCUCUUUUUAUCUUUUUUUUUUUUUUUUUUUUUUUUUUUUUUUGACGAAGAAGAAGAAAGAUCUUAUAAAAUAUUUCGACCGAAAUCCAAGGGAUAAUUAUUCAAAAAUCUCCACUUUUCUACCUUCUACAUAUUGGCUAAAAGAAAGAACACCUUUUCUCUCCGAGGCUCAAAUCAAGGUUCUAAGGAUAAAAAUUUAAAGGUAGGCUUGAAAGGCUCAAACGGUUCAAAGAAGGCCCAAAUCAUCUCCCAAAUCACUUACUACCCAACACUUCGUAUCAUAAAUGUCCUAAGGUGAGAUUUAAAACCGAACAAAGCAUGAUUGAGCACAAAUAAAUUCCAAAUUUAAAAUGCAAAACCUUCAACCAAAGCAAUGCACAAGAUGUGAUUCCUAGUAAUAAUCCACUUCUACGUUCUGUUGAAUCGAAAGCUAAACAAAUAUCUACUCCUUAAAAGCAUAAAACAAGUAGUCUCAUCAUCAAACAUUGACCAUCUCUCAUCAUCAUAAUUCAUCGAUGCAACGAAAACAAAACUAAAGCAUGCAAACGAAAACAAAUAAAGCGCACAUAAACGAAAACACAUAGUUAACCACCCCCAAACUUAAAAUUCACAUUGCCCUCAAUGUGAUUCGCCCGGAGUUUAAGGAUAGAAAACACCUGUUUUAAAUGUCGGGACCAUCGUCGGGAUUAUACGUGAAUUGAUGUGCAAAAUUCCCCCCCAAACUUGACUUGGGCAAUUCGUCGAACACCUUGUGGGCGUUCUCGGUGGAAUGGGUUUUUGGAGACAAUUGCUUUGUUCUUGAAUCCUUCCUGUGCAAAUCAGCAAUAAACAACCAAGUUUAAGUAUUGUGUGUGUGUAAUUGGUGAAUUGAUGGUGAAAUUGUGCAAAAAAAAUCGAAAGAAUUUGGAAAUAGGGUGUUAGGGUUCGAAUUAGGGGAGAAGUGGGGAUUGGAGUUGUGAAAAUUGGGGUUGGAAACCCCUCUUUAAAUCUGCCCGUUCUCCUUAUUCUCACGGCCGUGCGGGAUUUUGUGAAGGAAUCCGCACGGCCGCACCAAUUCACGAAAUUGGGCAGAAGCUCUUGAAUUCUCGGACGGCCGUGCGGAGUUUAAGCCUUAAAUCCGCACGGCCGUGCCAAACGCCGGUUUUGGGCAGUAGCUGGGUCCGUUUCUCGGACGGCCGUGCGAGACUUCUGGUCUUUUUUCCGCACGGCCGUGUGACAAGUUUCAAUAAUUGCAUUUAAGGCCCUGAAAAAUAAAAACUUCUUAUUAGAGCCCCUGAAACUUUUUUUUUUUUUUUUUUUUUUUUAUAAAUAAAAAAAAAAAAAAACUAACACUAACAAGAUAAAUAAAUAAAAACAAAAAUUAAAAGAAAAUAAAAUAAAAGAACGAAAAACGAAAGCUCGGGUUGCCUCCCGAGAAGCGCUAAGUUUAUAGUCUUCAGCCAGACUUUGUUCCUUCUCUUCAAUUCCUUAGCUUUUGAACCCAUCUCCUAACUUCCUUUCGGAGAAAGUCUUGAAUAAAUGGGUUGAUCCGAUUCUUCUUUCGACUGGUUCGCUUAGGAAUGCCUUUGAAUUUAUUCUUCUUGAUGUCAUGAGGCUUGCCAACAUCGUCUUUUAUCACGGUGUUUUGAGUAGGUGUUGUAACCAACUCAACCUUUUUCUUUUGUUCUCCUACAUGCACAUUAGUAUCCACAAAAAAAUUUAAAUCAUGUAAUUUAACAGGAAAAAGUUUAGAAUCACUUACCUCAUCAAGAAGAUAACAUCCAUUAGCCGUAAUAGGCUUUUCAUCCACCCGGUACACCUUGAAGAUCACUGUUUCGUCCCCCACACUCAUUCUUAGCUCUCUCUUUCCUACAUCAAUAAUUGAUCUACCGGUUGCUAAGAAGGGGCGUCCUAAGAUAAGGGGAAUAUUUUCAUCUUCCUCUAUGUCUAGUACUAGAAAAUCGGCCGGGAGUAUGAACUUAUCUACCUUGACCAAUACAUCCUCCACUAUACCUAAAGGGUGAGUAAAAGAUCUAUCGGCUAGCUGCAAGGUCACGGAAGUAGGCUUAAUUUCUCCUAAAUUCAAUUUCUCAUAAAUUGAUAAAGGCAUUAAAUUUACGCUCGCCCCUUGAUCACACAACGCCCGCCCAAAAUACCUAGUACCAAUUGUGCAUGGAAUGGUACAACUGCCCGGAUCUCUAAGCUUCGGUGGAAUUUUAUUUGCAAGGAUAGCACUACUUUGCUCAUUGAGGUCUAUGAUUGCUGCACACUCCGGAAGCCUCAUCUUCUUCGAUACAAGUUCCUUUAUAAACUUAACCCAAUUCGGCAUAUGCUUAAGUGCCUCAACAAAAGGAAUAUUAACAUGCAAUUUUUUAAGAUAAUCCAAAAAUGACUGAAAUUGCAUAUCAAGCUUAGAGUUUUGAAAACGUUGAGGGAAAGGUACCUUGGGAGUAGGUUCACUUACUGUGAUCUUUGUGUUGCUUGGCCCGACCUCGGUUUUUUCCUUGGGCUCCUCUACAAUAGGCGGUGGUGCAACGGACUUUUUAGGAACUUCUUCUAAUUGCCUCCCAUUUCGCAAACUCACAGCAUUGCACUGCUCGAUGUUGCUCUUUCGAGGAUCUUCCGUAUUCGACGGCAGUGCUCCCGACGGCCUCGCGUUUAGUUGGGUUGCAAGUUGCCCCAUUUGUGUCUCAAGGUUCCGAAUGGAUGCUUGAGUCGCCGUCAUGAAUUUUGCUAAGAUGUCAGCGAGGUCAACUCCUUGGGGUGGAGCUUGAGGUGGUGCUUGCCUUUGUCCUUGCUGAUUUCCUCCCCAUCCAAAGUUGGGGUGAUCCUUCCAUCCGGGAUUGUACGUGUUGGGGUACGGGUUCCUCUGUUGUCGGUUGGUGUCAUGCACAUAAUCCAGAGACUCCGUUUCUUCUAUGCGUUGGUCGGGCACUUGAACUGCGUGGACUUGCUGAGCCUGCAAAGCCGCUACUUGCUUCGAUAGCUUCUCCAAUUGGGCCGUGAUUGCGGUGACUCCAUCUAACUCCAAAAUUCCGCCCGUCUUGACUGCUCCGCUAUUCGACCGGUCCGAUGCUCGCAUGUAUUUAUUCCUAGCGAUUCGUUCCAAGAGCUCGUAUGCUUCGUCGUAGGUCAAACUCAUGUACAUACCUCCAGCUGCCGAAUCAAGCACGGUUCUCGAGUUGUCUUGCAAUCCAUCGUAAAAUAUUUGCAAUUGGCGCCACUCUUGAAGUCCGUGAUUCGGGCACCUCCUUACUAGCUGCUUGAACCGCUCCCACGUCUCGAAUAAUGCUUCACCGGCUUCUUGUAUGGAAUUUUGAAUUUCUCUCCGGAUUCUCUCAGUUUUUGUUGGGGAGUUGUAUGUGUUCAUGAAAAGUUGCGCUAGCUGGGCCCAAGACGAGAUGGAGUGCGGUGCGCGAGUUUGCAACCAUUCUCGGGCUGCUCCUUGUAGGGAGUGCUUGAACAGGCGGAGUUGCAGUGCUUCGGGUGUUACUCCGUUCAUCUUGUGCGAGUCACACGUCUCGAGGAAGUUGACCAAGUGAAGAUGUGGAUCUUCAUGAGCUAAUCCGCUGAAUAGACCAUUGUUUUGGAGCAUCGUGAGGAGUCCCGCUCGAAUCUCGAAAUUGUUGGCUUCAAUGGGGGGCUGCUGGAUGCUUGAUUGGACCCCAUUGAGUGUCGGGACGGCGUACUCAUGCAGUGCUCGUUGACGAGGUGGUGGAUUAAUUAGCUGGCGUUGCUCUUGCUCGUUGACGAUAUUUCCUGCUGCAUUCGGUAGGCGCCCUUGGUCAUCUCCCAUACGAUUAUUCUCUUCUUCCAUUGUCGCAUAAAAAGUACCUAGAGAAAAAUAAAAAAAAAUUAAUUAAUUAAAUAAAAUUAAUAAAACGGCUGAAGUAAGAAAAAUUGCUCAAAUUUAAUAUUAGGAUAAAUAGAUAAUUUAGCCGUAUUCCCCGGCAACGGCGCCAAAAACUUGUUGGGUGCUAAAUACCAACACGCAAGUGUACGUAUCGCAAACAAGUAGUAAAGUAGACUCGUGAGAGUCGGAUGUCGAUCCCACAGGGAAUACGCAAAUUAUUUACUCCUAAGUACCAAAUCCUAACAAUUAUGAUUUUUAUUCAGCCUACGCAGGGUUGUCAAAUUAAUUAACUAAAUAAAUUAAACUAAUUAAGAAAGCAAUUAAUCACGAUAAAAUAUCAAUAUAAAACGGAUCUAGGAUUUUAUCUUCCCCCUAUGCGAUAAUUCUUCACCCAACUAAUCUCUUAUUAUGCAAGUUACGAUUCCCGAUUAUUAACCCAAGACACGAAAUUAUUCAUAACCAGCUGUCGCUGCGCUAUAAACCUAUUAUUCAUAAAAGAUUCACUAUAUGUCUAUGCAAACCUAAUAUAAAUAAAGCAUUAAAUAACAAGUCUCGCAAACGGCUACCUAAGGUAUUAUCUGUAUGUCUACGAUAAUACAUGCAAUCAACACACGCAUUCGGUGAAAAACUACUCGAAGGCUCUUCUAUCCAUGUUCUAAUUAUUAAAACGAUCUGUCAAUCGAUUCUAACAAUAACAAAUAGCAACAUAAGUUAGCUACGCUCAUGCACUAAAUAAGAUCAAGAUAGAAGAAAUAAUCGAAAAAUUAAACUUGCAUAAAAGUCGAAUAAGAGGUUCGAAUCACCACAUAGGGUUCCAAUAAAAUCCUAGAAUAAAAACUUAGCUACUCAUGUUCGUAACGAAAAGCAUAAUAAAAAUACGGAAAUUCAUAAAAAUCAGAAAAGAAAAGGAAAAGGGAAACUAGGAUGAAGAUUCGUCAAGUCUUCGUCUUCGUUCUCUUGCUCCUCGAUUGCGUGUAGAAAAGAUAAAAACUCCAAAUAAAAAUAAAAGGUAAAAGAUCCAAGAUGGGUCUAAUUGUGUGCUUGUGGCCUUUAAAUAGGGUGCAAAAAUAUAAUAGGGCGGGUUUCCUUGUGUAAUUAAACUUCCUUCACUGCGCCCCUACGCCCAUCCGGACGGCCGUGUGAGAUUAAGAUCUAAAACCCGCACGACCGCGCGGCCUUCUGUUCUUCAGAAUUCUGAUUAUUUCACUUUUGGCCCACUUUUUCUCUGAAUUUGCAGUUUUCACCCCAAAAGUUGUCAAUUCUUCAAUUUGCACCUAAAAUACAAAUAAUAACCAUAUUAAGCACCAAUUAUCGUAAAAACACAUCAAAAGCUCCAAUUAAAAGGUACAAUUAAGUGUAUAAAUAUACACUUAACAAAGACCCAACAUCGGGAUGUGGAACCGAUGAUCUGGCUUCAGCAGCUCUCUCAGCCUCUCGCCUACGUCGUGUAGACAUAGUCAUGCGCUCGCGCUCUUGAUGUUCAGCCUCUUCACGAACUGCUCGCAUAAUUGCCUUUGAUUUCCCUUUGCCUGCCAUCUUUUAAAUAAAACACUAUUAACGUCAGUCUAAAUAAUGAAAAAAAUAAAUAAAAAUAAUUACAAGUCGGGAAAAUAAAAUUCCAGUUUCUAGUUAGAAAAAACUUUGGUUAAAAAAUAAGUUGAAUAACAUAUAAAAUAUUGAGAAAUAAAAAAAAUGCUUCCCUCGGCAUUUUCAAUGUCUAGUGGUCAUUUGGCUGGUUUUGUCCAUUUCACUACUAUAGGGGGGGAGGUGUCCAAGGAGGGUGCUAGGCCAAGGUGCUAGCAACUUUGCCCAAGGUGCUAAAAUAAAACAAAUCAUAAAAAAAAUAAAAAAUGAAUGCAGUUAUUUCGUGGACAAACACACGAAAUUAAUGCUUACAUUUCGUGUUUGUGUUCACGAAAUACAAGCACUAAUUUUGUGUGGUUUUCCACGAAAUAAUAGUAAAACUGCCAAAACACAUAUGUUUCGUGCAAAAUCAUAUGAAACAAAAGCUUACAUUUCGUGAGAUUUCUCACGAAAUGUAAGCUUUUGUUUCGUAUGAUUUUGCACGAAACGUAAGAAACACAAACAAUUAAGUUAAUUUCGUGGAAAAAAUCACGAAAUUAGCCCUUUAAUUUCGUGAGUUCUUACACGAAACGCAAUUUUUUUUUCGAAAAGUUUCGAUUUUUUUCAAAAUACUGAAAACGUAUAGAUUUUCGACGAAAUUUGUUAAUAUACUACUAUAAAACAUUGGGUUAACGAUUUCGAGUUCGAAUUUUACCUUAAAUCGUUGUUGAAUUGCUCGUUUAAUCCGCAGGAAUUCGAAGAACCUUAGAUAGGGUUUGAGAGGAUGUUGAAUUUUUGGAAGAAAAGUUACAAAUGAAAUAAAGUCGCACUGCAAGCCGAUAAAAGUUGUUCUAUGAAUAGCAUUUCAGCAUAGAUAAAGAAUGAGUGUAAGAAACACACUUUGGAAUUUUGAUCGGCUAUUUUUUUAGGGUAAUUGCAAAAAAACAUAUGGCAAGAGCAUUUAAUUAAAAAAGAAACAUUUUACUUGAUCCAGACCAGAAAGAGGCUGAAGGGUAAAAAGCCCACUUACUAAAGAGAUUGGCCCUUUAAAGUCCAUUCAAAGUACAGCCCAAGGUCGGUGGCCACAUAGAAAGUUUUUCCUCGGCAACAUCGCAGUUUUCCGAGCGAUGCAAGACGUUCGGAAGAAAACUAUGACGACCAAGUGCGGUGCAUUAAUGACCAUGACAAGUACGGAAGGAAGCAAUGAUGGUCUCGCCGGGCUCGUCUGUUAGACGAGUCCGCGUAUUAAAUUUGCUCACACUAGCAUUAAUGGUGGAAUGACUACCUGAUAGGAGGCGGUAGGGUGACCACGUUCGAUUAGGUGAGAAUGAUCUUCCAUACUACUGGGAGCCGACUGAAAGCUGAUAUGGGAUGGUAGUGGGUGCGGCGGCAGGUAUAUGCUCGCCCCGGUUUCCGGAAAUGCUGAAAAGCCGACUGAAUAAGUACUAUAAAUAGGUAUAAUUCCUCACCAGAAGAAGGUAAGGUUUUUCGGAUAAAGAUCACACAUACAUCACAAUCCAUCCUCACAUACACUUUUAUCUCUACAAACUUAGUCGUCGGAGUGCUAACUCCGAUAUCUGUGCAGGUGUUCUUUGCUUAACAAUCAGGAAAGUUCCAGAAGCUUGCAUGUAUGAAGCCCAUUACAAUGUUCCAAAAGCCCAUCCAGUAGAAGUGUCGUAGGGAACAAAUCAUUAUUUUUCUUUGUUGCAUGCUGCACAAACACUUCUUAAAGGUGAAGAGUCCCCGUAUCCGAUACCUGGACACUCGGACAUGCCCGGGCACGGCUCGAACACCCAUGUCGGACAGUGUCGUAAUUUCCCUAAAAGUAAGACAUCUGUGUCGGACAGUGUCUGCAAUUUUAAAAAAGUUGGGAUAUGACUCUUAUGUUUUAAGAGAAUGCCCUAAUAAAAAAUACGCAUUUUCUUUUAUCUGUAACAAAUAUUUCCUCUUUCUUCUAUGAGAGUCCACUUGAAAGUCCAAAACUCUAGCGACAACGGCGAUCAAGAUCACUGGCAACAAUGGCGAGCGGUUCUCUUUGCGAUUUGGCGACUUAUAAAUAUAUUUUUACAAUUUAUAAAUGUACCCCUGUAUUUUUAUAAUUUUAAAAAUAUACCCUGUAUUUUUUAUAUCUAUGCGUAUCCUCGCGUGUCCGUAUCCUAGAUUUUUGGAAUACCGUAUCACCGUGUCCGUAUCCGCGUAUCGCCGCAUCCGCGUAUCCGUGUCCCUACAGCAUAGGUUGCAACUAUAUCCAUAUAUCCAAACUUCAUUUGCAAUUAAGGAAAACUUUAUUAUAUUUACCAAAAUUACCCCCAACUCAUUAAAAUCGUAAUUCACACUCAAUUUCAUAAUUCAAACCCUAAUUUAGUCAGUCACCGCCAGUGAUCGCUGGUCAGCCGCCAUUGAUCGCCUGUCUCCGCCAUUGAUUUUUUUUUUGGUCUUUAACUCUUUUCAGUAGUAUUACAGUCUUAGCCGACAAUAUUAAUGUCUCAAAUAGUAAUUUUACUUUCUGAGAAAGUAAUAUUACUAUCUCAGACUGCAAUAUUAGUGUCUCAUACAAUAAUUUAACUCAUGUUUUAGAUAAUAAUGCUGCACUCAUACAGUAAUAUUUUUGUUUUACUGUCUCAGACAAUAAUUUUACUGUCUCAGUGCAAUAUUACUGUCUCAGAUAGUAAUAUUACCGUCUCAGGUAAUUUUACUAUCUGAGACAGUAAUAUCAUUGUGUUUGUUGUAAAAAAAAAUUGAAAAAUAAAAGUUAAAAAUAUUUAAUAUUAUUGUGUAAGACAGUAAGAUUACUGUGGGUUUAGCGGUCGGAAAAAAAGGCAAAAUUCAUUAAAAAAAAAUCAAUGCCGGAAACCGAUCGAAAAAAAAAUCAACGCCGGAAAACGACCGGAAAAAAAAAUUGGGAAAAAAGAUUCAAAAAAAAGAAAGUCAACAUCAGUUUGUGGCCGAAAAAAAAGUUAAGAGAAAAAAAUUUCAAAAUAUUGUGAAAAUUGGGUUAAUGUGAUAUAUUUGUUAAAAUCUUGAAUUAAGAUGUAAUAUUUGUUAAGUUGGGACAUUAUGGAAGAAAUUGAUAUAAAUUAUAUUGCAAAGGAGUAUAAAUUAUAUUGCAAAGGAGUAUUUUAGACAAAAGAUAAUCGAAUGAUUUAUUUUGUAAGAUUUAUGGUCUAAAUAGGAGCGCAAAUAAAUACUUCCUCCUUAACAAUUAAUGCUAAUCAUGAGAAAUCCAUAUUAUUAAGAGAGGAUGACAAAAAGUGUAAAUUUUUUGUUUUUGAGAGGAAAAAAAAAUAUGAAAAUCGACAUUCAAGUUAAAAAAUGACAUAGAAACAUAAUUUAAUGUGUUCUUUUUUCAUAUAAAUUACCAUUUUGUUUUCUUCGCUACUCCAUUAUGUAAGUUGUUUAAGGUUUUGAUUUCUUUGAAGUUUUUUUAAGAGUUUGUAAAGAAGAGGGAUAAAGGUGUUGGUGAAU
rnacentral:lncRNA from 1 species